AUUAGUAUCAAUUUCGAUUCCAAUCUCCAAUUCAUUGCAAAUAAAUCUACAGUUUGUUGGUUGAUCACCAAAGAACGGCCAACACAGCAUUGGCACUCCAGCGCAUAUGCUUUCAGUGGUUGAGUUCCAUCCGCAAUGAGUCAAGAAUCCACCAAUUGAAGGGUGAUUUAACACUUUCUCUUGUGAACACCAGCUUGCUAUAAGGCUUCUAUCUGAAAUUUCAUUUGCAAACUCUGAAGACAAAACCACUGAGCCACCAAUUACAAGAUCAGGCCUAAUGAUCCACAAAAAGGGUUUCUUGCUAUUGGCCAAACCCCAAGCAAACUCUAAAAAUUUCUCCGGAGACAUAAUUGUGAUGCUUCCAAAAUUCACAUAAACAACAGAAGCCGGUUCUUUUGAUUCCAGCCAUUCGAGACAUUUAGUAUCCUCUUUCCAAAGAUUUGAAUCUAAAGUUGCAAACUGAUUUUGUGGACUUUGAUUUACAAAUGAAGUUAAAGGGCCAAUAGUGUAUAGAGAAGGAAACAUAAUAUCAAGAGCAUUCAGAACAUUACUCUCAAGUUCAUUAGAAGUAUUGAGAACAAUAGAAGAGGCUCUAUGAAAUGUUUCUGCUGCUUCAAUAAUAAAUUCUAUCCUCAAAUCGUUAGGAUCUGUUGUCCUUAUAAAAUCAGGAAGAUCUUUCAGUCUAAAGUUUCUCAAACCUGGAAUCCAGUCUACCUUAGUGUCCAAAUAUCCAUUUGUUAGAUAACUCUCAUCUGCAUAUCAUAAUUACAAAAGUUAAUGUCUUGAAAAACUUGGCGCCCUUGCACACACAUAAAUAUAUAUUAAUGUUUUAAAUCACCAUUAGAACCAAAUGCUGCUGUGAGCCUUUUCUCAAAAUCUUGACUCACACACACACACACACUUCUCUUAGGGAGAGAUAAUAGAACUUGUUACCUUUGAGUGGUACGAGACCUUUCUCAAUCAAUGUACGAAAGUGUAAAACAGACAUGAAAGAACAAGCACUAAAUGGGACAAGGAGAACAAUUGGAAGUGCAAAUUCUUCAGCAACUCUUAUGGUAAAUGACAAGAGACAAUCAGAAACUAAGCAAGUAACAGGAGGCACAAGACCAGAUUUCGCAGAGUCAUCAAGUCUAGCUAGAAGUUCGCGAAAAGGGUAAAUAAAUUUCUUUCUAAUCGAUUCACGAAUAGAUUUCAAGUCUGGAUUAACAUCACCAUCACCAUCCAUUGGAGUUAAACCAUCUGGUAGAGUCUCAAAGUUAAAAUCAGUGAAACCAUCAAAGGCAUUUUCACCUCUUGAUUUGAGCAAGCGUUUGUGAUUGUAUUCGGUGUUAACAAAGGUUAUGUGAAAGCCUCGAAGGUGAAGAAGCUUAGCUAGUUUGAACAAUGGAUUGAUAUGGCCUUGAGUUGGAUAUGGAAUCAACACAGCAUGUGGUUUUCUCUUUGCAAAAUUACUCAUCUUUGAUCAGUCUAUGAUAUGUCAUAAAACUAUACAAAAGAUAAAACAGGUUACGUAAUGUUACAUAUUUUGGUUUUUGUAUGUUUUGCAACAAGUAACACGAGGAACAUUUUUUUAUAAUUAAAAUAAUGGAGCGGCAAAUAGUACGCCUCUUCUAUCCGUAUAGAUAAAUCAAUAGCAAGUGGUCCACAUUUAUUAAUACAUGUCUCUUUGUCUGAAUAUGUUUUCAAAUGAAUCAUAGUUUCAAAUGAAUCAUCAAUAUCAUUCUAGUCCUUGCAAAUAUCACCUAAGCGCCAUGUAAAUUUUCCAAAAAUGCCCUUGUGUAUUCCGGAUUUUAAAAUCCGGAUUCAUGUUUACUAUUUCGAAUUUUAUAAUCCGGACAAUUCUUAUGUAUAAUCAGCCAUCAGACUCUCACAUUUCAGCAAUUUUGAGUUUUGUUUUUAAAAACAACAAAAAAACUAAGUAAAAAAAAUGCUAAAAGCCUGUCAAAUAAAAUCAUAAAAAUAGAAACAUAAAAUUCUAAAAAUCAAAUAAAACUAAUGCAAAUUUUUCCGAAUUUUUCUGAGAAUAUGAAAAAUUAAAAAAAAUGAAAAAUGGGUCUAAACGAUGGAAUUUUGGAUUUUGAGGGGCGGAGUCCCUUAAGAAGUCUCUUCUGUGGGAGUCAUGGUCCUUGAAUUGUUUCUGAUUUUCUGCGGAAGUUUCGGAGCAAUCCAAUCAAGUAGCCCGAAAACCCGAUUUUUGACUAAGAACAUGUAACAAUGACCCAAAACAGAAGGAUGAAAGUUAGGAAGAUUAAUAUUGUCCCUAAAAUGACUAUCCAUAUUACAAACAUGUUUAGAAUUUGUGCUGAUACAGUUCAGAUUAUAUAAUCCGAACUGUUUUACCUUGAAAAAAGUUGUUUAGGGGAUUUCCGGAUUAUAUAAUCCGGAAACAUCAUGUAACACGCCCUAAUUUUUGAAAUUUCUGGAUUAUAAAAUCCGGAAAAAUCCGUUACUCAUUUUUUCACCCUCUAACAAAAGAAAACACCAUUCUGGAUUAUAAAAUCCGGAAACUUAAGGACAUUUUUGGAAAAAUAGGGCGCGCGAGGAAACCCACAGGGUGGGAAAAGUAACUCCCUAAAAUCUUACAACUUCAUAUUUUUAGGCCCCUUAAAUUAAAGCCCAAAAUAUUAAGAUCCAAGUCCAACGAGAUUUUAGGAUCCAUCAGCAGCCACUUUCUUGCAUGAAAUGUGCAUGGCUUCUUACAUGAGAUUGCACAUGGCACUUUGAGUGAAAUUACACUUGGAUGAUUGCAUGAAUAACACAUGUCCUUGUUGCGUGUAGCUCUCUUGCCGCAUGACUUAAUGCAUGUAACUCUCUUGCCACUAGGCUUAAUGCAUAUAAUUCUUCAUUUUCAUUCUCCUAUAGAUAAGAGUUUCUAAUGUAACUUCAUCAUUCAAGUUUUAUAAAGUGAGUGUUCAUCAAAACCGACCAUCUAUUUGUUCUUGUCCGGUUGUUGUAAACCAUUUUUUCAAAGAUUAAUGAUAUUUGUAGACAACUCUCAUUUUUUCUCUUCUUAUUGGUCAAAAUAAUAGAGAGAGACGGCAAAAAGUUAAGAAGAUAAUGUGAAAAUGAAAGAGAUAGUUGCUUUAAAGUUAUACAAAAAUAAUUGUAUAAAUAUGAUUUCUCUUUUUCAAAUUAAUUGGUUUUGAAAAAAAAUACAAAAAUGUCCUACAUUGAAACAUGAAUACCAAAAUAACUUGUUGUAGAUUGUUUCCUUCGUCAUGGCAGUGAGGUUACCAUGAAGAAUUUGUAAACAGUUUGAAGGCGAAGGAGUUUAUAAAAACGUGAAACCGAAAAAUCACAAGAUGGAAGAGGAAAGGAGAUGCAACAGUCAUUGUGUAAAUGGUGAAACACUGAAAGGUUAAUGACAAAUGCAAUAAAAAAUAAUGUUUUAAUAUUGGCAAAUUCUAUGGUACACCUAAUAUAUUUGAGUGUACCGGUACACCCACUCUUUAAAUUAAUAGUUAAAUAAGUUAUUUUUUGAAGAAAAAUAUUAUUUUUUAUCAUUUAUAAUUAUAAUAACUAAAUCUUAUUCAUAAAAAAUGUCAACAAAAUAAAAUUACUAUUUUUUGAAUUUUUAUCACUCAUAAUCGAGAACAUUCAUUAUUUUUUAUGAUAAUAUGUAAAAAUAAUUACUAUAAUUCUUAUAAACAAUGAAAUGAUGUUUUUUCUUAUGAAAUAAUGUUCUAUAAAAUAUAAAUAUUGAAAAUAGCUAUUUAUUACAUAAAAAAUAUCGUUAAUUUAUAAAAUUAUGAAGCAGGAGUACCGGUACACCUCACUUUGUGAGUGUACCGUAGAAGUUCCCUUUAAUAUUUAGUAUUUUUAAAAAAUUCAACAGAUGACAGAAAAAUAUCAGUUAUUUCUUGUCAAAAAAAAAAUAUCAGUUAUUAAAUUUUGACAGCUUAUACAACGAUUAUAUAACGUACACUUUGCAAAAUAGACAACACUUUUUUUUAAGCAACUUUUAUAUAAUCAUUGUUGAUAUAUACAUUUGAAAAAAAAAAAAAAGGAACCUAUCUUCGUCAUUUGGAAUGGCGACGCUCUUCCAAUCAUUUCCUAAUCCUCGCUAAUCCAAAUUGCAAGGUCCAGCUAGUUUCCAAAAAGUAAAAGAUUUUGGUAUUUAGUUCUUAAUGUAGGGCAUUUUUGUAAUUUUUUAGGGUUAAAUAUGUUUUUAGUCCUUACAUUUUACGCCUAUUUGAAGAAUAGUCCCUACAUUUCAUUAAAUGUUUUUAAAAUCCUCCAUAUUUUAUCUCGGUUAUCAAAAUUAGCUGCCGUUAAUUCUCGUAAAGAUCAUAUUUUGAGAGAGAGAAAACAUAUAAUAUUUUUGCUCAAGAAAGAUCAAAUGCCAAGAAAGUUGCUUACCGACGAUAAGUAUAGUACAUAUUUGACUAUAUGAGGUCAGUGUACAAGUAUCAUACAAUAUGAUUGAAUCCAUUUAGAUUGGUCCGGUGACGUUGGUUUAGGACCUUCAAUUAUGCUCUCUAUAGGUUAUUGUGUUCGAUUUUCCCUAUCGUCAAUUUCGGUGAAUUAAUUUAGUUUCUUAAAAAAACAUAAAGUGGAAGUGAUUAGAAAGACACAUAAUUUAUUAUUAAUAUUGUAAUGUAUUCUUGAAAUGUAUGAGGCAGCCUCUGGACAAGUUAUUAGCCUUCCAAAGUCUGAAGUUUAUUAUAGUAGAAGUCUUCCGAUCCCUACACAAGAGUCCAUCACGGCAAUCCUUGGUGUUGGUGCCGUUAUGGGAACUUGGAAGUAUCUGCCUUCCAUGAUUGGCCGAAGCAAAGAAGCCACCUUCGGCUUUAUUAAAGACUGUGUUUGGCAUAAAAUCAAUUUUUGGAGUAGCAAAUGUCUUUCCAAAGUAGGCAGAGAAGUUCUUAUUAAAUCGGUACUCCAAUCCAUUCCUUCUUAUGUUAUGAGUAUUUAUUUGUUGCCAAACAGAUUAGUCGAUGCUAUAGAAAAAUGAUUAAUGCAUUUUGGUGGGGAAAUGGCGGUUCUACUAGAUGAAGUUUGCAUUGACUUUCUUGGGAAAGGUUAUCUGUUCAUAAAAAUUAUGGUGGAAUGAGAUUUAAAGAUCUUACGUCCUUUAAUGUAGCAAUGCUAGGUAAAUAGGGUUGGAAGUUUCAAACAGAUUCAGAUAGUCUUGUGUCACGUUUGUUUAAGGCGCGCUAUAUUCCUCAUACUGAUUUUCUGAUUUGUCGAAUUGGUGCUAAUCCUAGUUAUGUGUGGCGUAGUAUUUUUAGUGCUAAAAUAGAUGUCCAACAUGGUGCUAGAUGGAGGAUUGGAACGGGUGCUAAUAUUCCUUUGUUUGGUGCACCGUGGCUCAAAGAUGGGCGAUCUUUUACAACAAAUUGUCCUAUGUAUGAAUCUCUUUCUCAUGUUAAAGUACAGAAUAUUAUCGAGCCAACGACAAAGGUUUGGAGCACCACUCUUAUAUCUUCUCCUUUUCGUUAUAAUACUAUCCAGAUUAUUUUGAAUACUACUCUUCAUCCACUUGUUAGCGAAAACAAAUUAGUGCGAAAGGCUGAGAAAAAUGGUAAUUAUUCUGUCCGUAAUGCAUAUCGUAUUUGUGUAACUGACAUUGCAGAUAAUUUCCAUUUACAUGUGUCGGGGAGAUGGAAUUUGAUUUGGAAGCUUAAAGUUCCUCCCAAGAUCAAAAACUUUGUGUGGCGUAAGUGUCAGGGAUGUUUCCUGAUGACAUCUCGUCAUUACGUAAUUUUAUAUGUAUUUUGAUCACAAAUUGGAGUUCACAAGGAAUCUUAUGCAGCAAAAAGAGCAGAAAAUGUGUCAUGAUUUGGAACAAACGUGACACGAUUUUAGAAACCAAAACAUGCUUUCAAUAUUGAGGAAAACGUGUCACGAUGGCAAAAACGUGACACGAUUUGAGGAAACCCUAAUUUAGCUUUUUGUUAUUCAGAGGAAACCAUGUCACGAUUAACUUAAAACGCGACACGAUUUUGGGCGAAUUUCUAUGCCUAUUUAAGCUGAAGUCUAUUCCAAAGACAAGCGUUACAAUUUGAAGAGAGCAAAGUGCGAUUUUGAGACUACAAGAUGGCUAGGAGGGCGAUUUCUUCAUCCUUUUACCUGUUCAUGUAUGUAUUGAUUCCUCUAAUGAUUAUGUUAUUUGUAAACACCAUUAUGACUAGCUAAAUCCAUUAGAGGUUAGGUCUGAGAUGAUUCUUUAUAACCUUAAUUGAACCAUGUUGCUGUGAAACUCUAUUUAUUGUGAAUGACAAUAUAGUUUUUAUUCAAUUCAAUUGUUCUUAAUACUUUUUAUCUCGUGAUCAAAUAUAAACAUGAUUUAGUGAGAACGAAUGACUACUGACCCUAGCUUUCGACUUAGACUGAAUUGAAUUGUUCUAAUAAACAUGGUUAGUCUAGGAAUGAAUAAUCAUUUAUUAGUGAUAUUAGGUUAACAUGCUUAAACCUUCAAAAGUUAGUAGACCACCUAAGGAAUUAGGGGCUACAAGUAACCCUAGAAGAGGGUCCGAACUCAAUGGAUUGAUUAUGACUAUUUUGUUAAUUAUCGUGGAACUAAUGAAUCAUUCAUAAGAAUAGGUGCAGUAUACCAAUUAGGGGAACAUAGAUGAUUCGAAAGACCUAAACUCAUCUCUCUCUUAUUCUUAAAACCAACUUUACUUUAUUUCGUUAAUUUUAUGCAAUCAAACCAAUCAACUGCCUAGUGGCAAAUAAAAAUAACUUUUGUACAUCCUAACUUACAACGUAAUUGAAUUAUUGAAAUUAAAAUCAGUCCUUGUGGGAACGAUAUUUUUACUACUUCGAUAGUAUUCGGUACACUUGCGAAACGUCUAUCAUUUCCCAACACGCACACGCCUUAGCAGCCGAGGAGUGCAUUGUUCCACACAGUCUGUUCUUUGUGGUAGUAACUAUGAAGAUAAGAUUCAUGUGUUGUUGGAAUGCCCAGGUGCAAGGAAAGCUUGGCGUGAGGUUCAAUUAUGGGACACGAUUGACAAAACUCUCCGAAAAAAUUAUAAUAUGGAUACACUUAUUUUUACUCUUCUUGAUCAACUGCCUUUGGUCCAAAGAGAAUUAGUUUUCAGAACUCUCAUGUCGAGUUCAAUAGGAGGCAAGCCAAUGGGGUCGCUAAUGAAUUAGCUAGGGUAGCCCCAUCUCAUACUAGCUCCCAUGUUUAUGAUAAUGUACCGUCAUGUAUUUCUUCUUUGAUUGAUAAUGAGAAGCAAUGAAUUUCUCCUUUCAAAAAAAAAAAAAAUAUAUAUUUUAAUGUAUAUAUUCUAUCCACACCAGUCUUGGAGGAGUUUACUAUGGUCGGUCCAUUACAUUGUACCGUUACAUGACAAAACUUAUACAACCAAAAUAACUAUAUUUAAAACUAUGUAACGAGAAACACUCCAAUCUGUUUACUUGUCUUGUUCUAUUUCCUUUGUAGUUUUCUUGCAUAUCAUAUAUUGUAAUAUUCCAUUUGUUUCUAUUAAAGAAAAUACUCAUCCUUAGAAUACUUUAACAUUGCACAAGAAAAUUAUCAGAAAUGAGUAAUUCUGCAAGCAGAAAACCACAUGCUGUGUUGAUUCCAUAUCCACUUCAAGGCCAUAUCAAUCCAAUGUUCAGAUUAGCAAAACUACUUCACCUUAGAGGCUUUCACAUAACCUUUGUUAACACCGAAUACAAUCACAAACGUUUGCUCAAAUCAAGAGGUCCUAAUGCUUUUGAUGGUUUCACCGAUUUUCGCUUUGAGACUAUUCCUGAUGGUUUAACUCCAAUGGAUGGCGAUGGUGGUGAUGCUACUCAAGACUUGAUAUCUCUUCGCGAAUCAAUCAGAAAGAAUUGCAUCGAACCUUUUCGCGAACUUUUAGCUAAACUUAAUGACUCUGCAAAAGCCGGUCUUAUACCUUUUGUUACUUGCUUAGUUUCUGAUUGUAUUAUGCCAUUUACUACACAAGUUGCUGAAGAACUUGCACUCCCAAUAGUGAUCUUUUUCCCGUCAAGUGCUUGUUCUUUCCUGUCUAUUUUACACUUUCGUGCACUUAUUGAGAAAGGUCUCAUACCACUCAAAGGUAACAGUUUGUGUUCCUUUUCUUAUUAUUUAAGAGAGAUGUGUGUGUACAUAUCAAGGUUUUGAAAACAAGGUCUGCAACCGCGAUCUAGGCUGAGCAUAAAGAUUGCGACGUCUUUAUGAUCGUAUAUGAGGCUGCAUUAGGCUUAUUUGGUUGCGAUUAUGAUUCAUAUAAAAAUAGCGACAUCAUAGAGAUGAUUAUUGCGACCAAGAUUGAAAACCUUGAUAUUUAUAUAUUUCUGCUAUUUACUUUUGCAAUUAUGAUAUGCAGAUGAGAGUUAUUUGACAAAUGGAUAUUUGGACACUAAAGUUGACUGGAUUCCAGGUUUGCGAAACUUUAGACUGAAGGACCUUCCUGAUUUUAUACGGACAACAGAUGCUAAUGAUUUGAUGUUAGAAUUUAUCUUUGAAAUGGUAGAUAGACUUCAUAGAGCUUCUGCUAUUUUUUUAAAUACUUCUAAUGAUCUUGAGAGUGAUGUUAUGAAUGCUCUUUAUUCUAUGCUCCCUUCUCUAUACACCAUUGGCCCAUUUGCUUCGUUUUUGAAUCAAAGUCCACAAAAUCACUUGGAAUCUUUAGGUUCCAAUCUUUGGAAAGAAGAUACUAAAUGUCUUGAAUGGCUUGAAUCAAAAGAAUCAGGAUCUGUUGUUUAUGUUAAUUUUGGUAGCAUCACGAUUAUGUCUCCGGAGAAAUUGUUAGAGUUUGCUUGGGGUUUGGCCAAUAGCAAGAAAACCUUUUUAUGGAUCAUUAGGCCUGAUCUUGUCAUUGGUGGCUCAGUGGUUUUGUCGUCUGAGUUUGUGAAUGAAAUUGCAGAUAGAGGCCUAAUAGCAAGUUGGUGUCCACAAGAGAAAGUUUUGAACCACCCUUCAAUUGGCGGAUUCUUGACUCAUUGCGGAUGGAACUCAACCACUGAGAGCAUAUGCGCUGGAGUGCCAAUGCUUUGUUGGCAAUUCUUUGGUGAUCAACCAACAAACUGUAGAUUUAUUUGCAAUGAAUGGGAGAUUGGGAUCGAAAUCGAUAUGAAUGUGAAGAGAGAGGAGGUUGAAAAGCUUGUCAAUGAAUUGAUGGUGGGAGAGAAAGGAAAUAAAAUGAGGAAAAAGGUUAUGGAGUUGAAAAAGAAGGCAGACGAGGACACUAGACUUGGCGGGUCUUCAUACUUGAACUUGGACAAAGUGAUCAAGGAGGUGUUGCUUAAACAAAAUUAGUUCAAAGUGAUUUAUUUUUUGCAAAGAAGUACUUUUCUUGUAUAUCGAUUUUCUCUUGUUUAAUAUAUUUCUUUGACAAGCAAAAACAUAUGAUUGUGGACCACCACCAUAAGUUUUGUUCCUAAGCUUAUGCAAGCUACACAGAAACAGUGUCUGAUGUUAUCAAGACUCAUUCAUCCAAAAUAUAUAUAUGCUGCAGCUUCACUCUACAUAUUCAAAAUAUAAUUUUAUAUCAUUCAACUCGAUUAAUAGAAAAAACAUUUUCACACUUACAAUAUUCCGGUAAAAGUAUAACGGAUUCAUCACAUAAAACAGAACAGAUUCUAGUUUUAGCCCAAAAAAUAAGAGCAAAACAAUUAAGAAAUAGACUAGAGACCAAAGUUGCAAAAUUCAACUUUAUAUGCAUACCAUAUAACUUCAAAAUGUUGAUACUCAAAACAUUUAAGAUUAGCCAGAAUCACAACUUCAGUUUAGGAACUCCAGCUGAUGAUAGGUUCCAUCAUUAUAAACUCAUUAACUUAUUACCAUCAUUGUAUUUGUACUUGCUAAUACACUGCAAUAACAUCAUAACUUAAGACCCUGUUUGGAUUAACAGCUAAAUUUAUAGCUUAUAGUAUUAGUACUUACCAUAAUAAGCACUUAGUUAUAAGCUAUAUUUAUAAUGCGAAAAUAAAAUAAAGUUAAAUUAGUUUUUUUAUAAGCUGUAAGCUCUUUUUAUAAGCUACUCUUCUAGAGCUUACGGAAAUAAGUUGAAAACAACUCAUGAACAUAUAAGAAGUUGUUUACAUAAAUUCUGCAAACAGUCUUCUAAGUGUUUAUGCCGGUAAAUAAGUUCAAUUAAGCUAAACCAAACAGACCCUAAAUCAUGAAUAGCUAGAAAUUUAAGUGCGGAAUAAGGUUGAAACCCUGAUCAACCAAAUUAUAAACCUAUGAAGCACGGACACAGACAGAGACAUUGGACACGAUACUCACAUGUGUUGGAGCUUGUCAAAGAAAUAUAUUCAAUAAGAGAAAAUCAAUAUAGAAAUACAGUACUUUGCAGGGAAAAAAAUCACUUUAAUCUAAUUUUGUUUGAGCAGCACCUCCUUAAUCACUUUUUCCAAGUUCACAUAUGAACAACCACCUGGUCUUGUGUCCUCCUCUGCCUUCUUCUUCAAUUCCAUGGCCUUUUGCCUCAUCUUCUUUCCUUUAUCUCCCACCAUUAAUUCAUUGAUCAGCUUCUCCACCUCCUCUCUCUUCACAUUGGUAUCAAUUUCUGCUCCAAUCUCCCAUUCAUUGCAAAUAUAUCUGCAAUUUGUUGGCUGCUCAGCAAAAAAAGGCCAACACAACAUUGGUACUCCGGCACAGAUGCUUUCCAUUGUGGAGUUCCAUCCACAAUGAGUCAAGAAUCCUCCAACUGAAGGAUGGUUCAACACUUUCUCUUGCGGACACCAGCUUGCUAUUACGCCUCUAUCCGAAGUUUCAUUCACAAAAUCGGAUGACAAAAUAACCGAGCCACCAAUGACAAGGUCAGGCCUAAUAAUCCACAAAAAAGGUUUCUUGCUGUUGGCCAAACCCCAAGCGAACUCUAACAGUUGAUCUGGAGUCAUGACCGUGAUGCUUCCAAAAUUCACAUAAACUACAGAACCUUGUUCCUUAGAUUCAAGCCAUUCAAGACAUUUCAUAUCUUCUUUCCAAAGAUUAGAACCUAUAGAAGCCAAGUUAUUUUGCGGACUUUGAUUCAAAAAUGAAGUUAAAGGGCCAAUGGCAUAAAUAGAAGGGAUCUUAAUAGAUAGAGCAUUUAUUACAUCAUUCUCAAGUUCAUCAGAAGUAUUGAAAACAAUAGAAUUAGCUUCAUGAACCCUAUCGGCCGCUUCAAUGAUAAAUUUUAUCAUUAUAUCAUUAGGAUCAGUAGUUCUUAUAAAGUCAGGCAGGUCCUUUAGUCUAAAGUUUCCCAAACCUGGAAUCCAGUCAACUUUAGUGUCCAAAUAUCCAUUUGUCAAAUAACUCUCAUCUGCAUAUCAUAAUCACAAAAGCCAUUAACAUCAAACUCUCCAAACUUCUAAUACAUAUUAAGACUUAACUAUUUCAUAAGUUCUAGAUAUAAAAGGAUCAGAUUCUUACAACAUGGACAAAGAAAUAACAUAUAUAAAGUGUUACCUUUGAGUGGUAUGACACCUUUAUCAAUCAAUGUACGAAAGUGCAAAGCCGACAGAAGUGAACAUGCACUAGCUGAACUAAAUAGAACACUAGGUAAACCAUGUUCUUCAGCAGCUUGUAUAGUAAAAGUCAAUCCAAUAUCAGAAACUAAGCAACUAACAGGAGGAAUAUGACCAUCAUUGGAAGAAUCUUUAAGUCUAGCAAGAAGUUCACAGAAGGGGUGAUAGAAAUUCUUUCUUAUUGAAUCGGAAAGAGAGAUAAUGUCUUGACUAACAUCACCAUCGCCUUCUAUCGGAGUUAAACCAUCUGGAAUAGUCUCAAAGGUAAAAUCAGUGAAACCAUCAAAGGCUUUUGGACCUCUUGAUUUGAGCAAACGUUUGUGAUUGUAUUCGGUGUUGACAAAGGUUAUGUGAAAGCCUCUAAGAUGAAGAAGUUUUGCUAGUUUUAACAACGGAUUGAUAUGGCCUUGAAGUGGAUAUGGAGUUAUCACUGCAUGUGGCUUAAUUCUCUCUGCAAAAUUGCUCAUGUUUGAAUUUGUGUGUGUAAGAUAAGUUUAAGAAUAAAGGGAUACAAGUGAUCUUUGCUUUAAUAGAGAGAAAAUGUCAUCUUCAUUGUUUGGUGUAAGAAAAUGAGGGAAGUACAAAGGAUAAGUGUUAUACCCUGUUUUUGGACCUAAAAAUACUGGGCCCAAUUUCAUUUCAAACUUUGUCAAUUAUCAAAUUUCAACUGCACAGUUCAAAUUGUCUCUGCCUCGCAGUAUUUUUCAAUCACAAUUUUACCUAUGUUUUUCUUGCAUAAAACCUUUCGAAAUGUCUUUACUUGUCUUGUAAGUCAUUCAAAAGUGUCUCUGAAUCAUUACAUUGCUUUUUCCACAGUUUAUUUCAAAAUUUGCAAAGAAGUCAUACAGAAGGGUAUUUUGGUCAUUUCCCGCAGUGGGACCCAUUUUCAUCCUUGUGACUGUCUCUGAGUCUUUUCAAAUUCAUUUUUAACUUUCCAUCAGUAAACCUUGCUAAUUUCGUUUCAAACUUGCAUCUGAGUCAGUGUCGAGUUAAUUUGAUUCUGUUUAGGUCAUUUUUAGCCCUAGGGGCAUUUUGGUCAUUUCACAUAAAAUUUUGGCAUGGGGAGGUUACUUUGAAGUACCUCAUUUAGGCCAUUGGUUCGUUUUAGUCCGUUUUGUCAAUUUUAUUUUUUUGUUUCGCUUUACGUUUUGUCAGGUUACCAAUUUUAUUUCAAUUUUAUUUUAUUUUGCAUUUUGGUCCUCAAAGAGGUCCAAAAUUGCAUUUCAGUCCAGAAUUCUUUCUAUUUGCAUUUUUAGUCCUUUUUGUUAUUUCCAUUUUAGUCCUUUAAUUUUUCAAUUUUGCAGAAAAGGGCUCAAAGUGUCAAGCUCACGUUUUUUUUCAGUUAAAGUCCAGAUGUCACAAUUCUAUUGGUCCAAGAUCACACAUGUCAGCUAUAAAAGGUGUACAGUGCCACACAGACCCAUUAAUCACACGCCAACUCAUAAACACAAAAUCAAUUUUCUCUUUCUCAGCAAUUAGAUCAAAAACAGAAAAUCUCUCAGAAUUUCUCAAGAACACCAGGAACAAAAACCCUAACCGUUUUCCAGAAACCCUAAUUUUCAUCAGAAUCAACAUUUUUUGCAUCAAUCCUCAGAGAUUCGUGUGAAUCUUCAUCACCGGACUGAAGAUUUUCCUGCAAUUCCAAGUGCGAGCUCGCAUUGAAGCAAGCUCAAGCACUGAUCACAGGAUCUCCUCGCGUGGAUCUAAGAAACAUUGAAGCAAGCUCAAGCACGUAAUCACAGAGAAGCAGAGAAAGAGUCAGAGAAGAUGAAGAAUCUGGACCGGUGAAGCAAACAGAAUCAAAAAUCAUCAAGAACAGAAUCAAGAUUUCCAAAGAUUUCCUCCAUUAAAGGUUUCAACCAAAACCUUAGGUAAAACUCAUAAUCUUUUCUCAGAAAAUAAUAUCACUGUUAAACCUAAAAAUCACGCAAGCAAAACAGAUCCAAAAUUUCCAGAAUUCAAAGCCAAAACCGUAACCGUGAACACAAAACCUAGAUCCAUAAGGAUCUAAGUUUUGAAAGCAAAAACAAACAUCAAAGAGGUGUUAAACAACGAAAUGAUGUAGAUCUUCAAGGAUCUAAACGUUUUCUUUCAAAAAAUCAAAAUCAAAUUCAAAGCCGUACGACAAAUUUCCAGAUCUACAUCGUUUCGAAUUGAAUUUGAAAAAACAAUUGCUGGAUUCGUGUUUAGGGUUAAAGGACGAAUUGAUUGAUGAAGAAAUUUUGAAAUUCUGGAAAUUUUAGGUCACCGGAGUUCUUGAACUCGCCGGAGAAGAUGAAGUUUCCGGCGGACCUUCAAGGUCUCCGCCGUAGCUUCAUCCUCGCCGGCGGCGAGGUUAGUGAGAGGUGAGAGAAGAGAGAGGAACUUAGAGAGAGAAAGGGGAGUGAAAAGUGAAGAAAACCGGAACCUCUUCCCUUAUAUAAGCUAGUGAACCAGACCGGUUCAAGACCGGUCCAAUCCUGUUGAUUCCAGGCCGUUUGAUCUAGGGUUUCAGGAUCCUGGAUCAAUCCUGUGGCUCCUGUGAAUCCGGUUCUUUAGGGUUUUGGGUUGGGCCUUUGGUUUCUUUGGAUCUUUACGUUUUGCUAUUUCUGUGCUAUUCACACCCCUAUUUUUUGCUGCCUGCACCUAUGUCUUGAUUAAAAUUGUGAUAAAAUUCCUAGAAAAAUUCAUACAUGUUUCUUGAUAUUUUCUUAGUGUUUUUAUGACAUUUUUGCACAUUAAGGAUCUAUGAAAAUUUUGUAUAAUCAAUUCAUAGCAUUUUAAUUCUCUUUGAAUUAUUUGUUAUGGAUUCUUCUUCACACAUUUGUCCUUGAUGUGAGAAUAUGUAAUAAAAGCUACUUGAUGUGUUAAUAUGAGAGAUUUGUGCCUAUAAUUUCAUGUUGAUUUGCUGUUUUGAUUUGGUUUAUGAGUUCUUGUUUUUAUGAACAAUAUAUCCAUAUUUUGAAAGAUAUAAAAUGCCAAGUUUACUCUAGAAAAUAUGGCAUGAAAUCAUGCUUGCAUGUUUCCAAUAAUUCCAUGCUAUAACUUGAGAUAAAGAAAACUCUUUCAAAAUUUGUUAAAGCAUGAGAAUUAGAGGCCAAGAAUGCUUUAGGUUUCAUACCUAAGUUUUUAGGGUUUAAUGUCAUUUUGUUAACUUUUUGUGCCAUCUUGCAUGCUUUUAUUUCUUAGUACUUGUUAUGUUUUUUCUUUUCACUAACAAGUUUAUUUCCAUGUUUCAUGCAUCCCAUUUAGCAUUCCCUCCACUUUCUUUAGCCUAGCCUUUAUCUUUUGCAAGUUUUAAUUCAUUUGGUAAUGUAAUUUGUUAUCAUUGGUUUGUAGCUUGGCAAAGGGGCCAUAGAAUGUAUUUAGGCAAUUUUUGUAAUAUGGACUAUGGACACUAUGAUGCACCGACACGCACACACUCACCUUAGAUGUAUGCAUAGGAUUGUAUGGUUAAAUAAGCGUUUAGGUUUUAAACACUUAGAGAAAAUCCAUCUUUUUUUCAAAAAAAAAUAAUUGAACUUCACUUCAAAAACUUUCCUAAUAAGUAUGAAGUCAACACUUCAUUUUUUUCCUUUCUUUUUUUCUUAAGAAAAAUUCAAUUCAUCUUAAUCAUUUAGACUUUCUUUCUAAUCACUAAUCAAACCUCACUUUUUGCUAAAUCUAAUGCUCAUGAAGCCUCCCAAUCUCCUUCUUCAAAACCUUUUUUCUCAAAACUUAAAAUUAAACAAUUAGAACAAAAAACAAGUCUUUUUAGCAAGAACUACGCCGGUUUUGAUCCCGUAAAACGGUACGUAGGCAAUGAGUCAAAACUCAUCCAAGCCGAAAUAAAAUCCAAUUCUACUUCUUCUCACCCCCAUUCUUCACUAAUCAUACUUUCUUUUUUACAAAUAAGCAAUAAAACUAAAGCGUAGAAAUAAACUUAGGAAAGCGGUUCUUAUGGAGUACCAUAAUCGCUCCGGGUGCCUAACACCUUCCCGUAGCGAAAACGACCCCCGAACUUAGAAUCUAAGGGUUUUUCUCAAUUUUGCCCUUCCCAAGAAAAAAUAGAGAAUAUCAACGGUCAAAAGGUUCAAGUCCAAUUAAUGGCUUGGCACCCAAAAACCAUGAUAACAGAAAUGGCGACUUCACUGGGGAUUUUUUUAGCGGGUCACGCCUAGUUUUCCUUAGUUUAUUUACGCUUUGUUUUAUUGCUUACAUAUGUGAAUACUUGUUUACUUUCAUUUGACGUGUGGGGUGAGAAUAUCAAAAGUCCUAUACCCGGGCUGAGUGAACUUAUGUUUAGGUAGAGAUAUAAUCGAGAAUUCGAUCCGGGGGUUGCCUCGUGUAUUGGAUUAUGCGAUCAAUCUCACAUAGCUGAGGCAUUUUGAAGGUGAUAUUGUCGGCGUGUGUUGUCAUGCUUAGGCACUUCACUUUCAAUUGUUCGACGAAGCUAUGAACCGUAGUUACCAAACCCAUCCUAGCCUUUUUAGGACGUAGUGCGGUGGCUAAAUUGAGUGUUGUCUCAAACUUUAGUCGUCACGCGAUACUACACUCAAGCUAGACCUUCUCACAAAUAAUCAUGGAACGGGUGUCGUCCUGUACUACCAUGAUAUAUGUGAGAGAGGUUGCAGUUUGGGAACUGUGUUAGAACCAUGGUUACUACUAUCCAAAGCCUUAGUUCACCGGACGCCGUGUCCAUCCGUGGCCCCGUUACUUUGAAACUCAAUCCACUUUUAACAACACGAUCAUGCAUACAUGCAUUCAUGCAUAAACAUUUUUCAUGCAUUCAUCGAAGGGUUUAAACAAAUGGAAAUUUUUGUAAAUAAUCACAGGUAUGAAGAAGACUAAGUGCUACAAGUUCAAGGAAGUGGAUUUGGUUAGUUUGAGAGAGUUGGCACUCAAGGUCAAGAGUCAAACAGGGUUCCGACUCCGGUAUGGGGGAUUGCUUACUUUGCUCCGAACCGAUGUGGACGAGAAGCUAGUGCACACUCUAGUGCAAUUUUAUGAUCCAAGCUUCUGUUGCUUCACCUUCCCGGACUUCCAGUUGGUUCCUACUCUCGAGGCUUACUCCAAUCUAGUGGGUUUACCUAUGGCCGAGAAGACGCCUUUCACCGGUCCCGGGACUUCUCUUACUCCUCUGGUUAUUGCUAAGGAUCUCUACCUCAAGACUUCCGACGUCUCCAACCAUCUUAUUACCAAGUCUCACAUUCGGGGGUUCACUUCGAAGUAUCUUCUUGAUCAGGCUAAUCUCGGUACUACUCGUCAGGAUACACUCGAGGCUAUUCUUGCUUUGCUUAUCUACGGGCUCAUUCUCUUCCCGAACCUCGACAACUUCGUGGACAUGAAUGCUAUCGAGAUCUUUCAUUCCAAGAACCCGGUUCCUACUUUGCUAGCGGAUACCUACCACGCCAUUCAUGACAGGACUCUCAAGGGCCGUGGGUAUAUUCUUUGCUGCAUACCUCUUCUGUAUAGGUGGUUUAUUUCGCACCUUCCGAGUUCCUUCCAUGAUAACUCGGAGAACUGGUCCUACUCGCAGCGGAUUAUGGCCCUCACUCCUAAUGAGGUCGUCUGGCUCACUCCGGCCGCUCAGGUGAAGGAAAUUGUCAUGGGUUGUGGAGACUUUCUCAAUGUACCUCUUCUUGGUACUCGUGGAGGAAUUAACUACAACCCCGAGCUUGCUAUGAGGCAGUUUGGUUUUCCUAUGAAGUCGAAGCCCAUCAAUCUUGCUACAUCUCCAGAGUUCUUCUUCUAUGCGAAUGCUCCUACCGGACAAAGGAAAGCUUUCAUGGAUGCUUGGUCCAAGGUUCGAAGGAAGAGUGUGAAGCAUCUAGGUGUGAGAUCCGGUAUUGCUCAUGAGGCCUAUACUCAGUGGGUGAUAGAUCGAGCUGAGGAGAUCGGUAUGCCUUAUCCAGCUAUGAGAUAUGUGUCUUCGUCUACUCCAUCUAUGCCUCUACCUCUACUCCCCGCGACUCAGGAUAUGUAUCAGGAGCAUCUAGCUAUGGAGAGUCGUGAGAAGCAAGUGUGGAAAGCUCGGUACAAUCAAGCCGAGAAUCUAAUCAUGACUUUGGAUGGUAGAGAUGAGCAGAAGACUCAUGAGAAUCUAAUGUUGAAGAAAGAGCUAGCUAAGGCCCGGAGGGAAUUGGAAGAGAAAGAUGAGCUGCUUAUGAGGGACUCCAAGAGAGCCAGAGGACGACGAGACUUCUUUGCCAGAUACUGUGAUUCAGAUUCCGAGUCCGAUGAUCUUCCGACUACUUCCUAUGCUUGAGGGCUUCAUAUGUUUAUUUCAAAGUCUUUCUGUUGAGAAUACUAUGUAGUUUUGUUUAUUUGCAAGAUUUCUAAUUUGUUUAAAAAUCCUUCGAUGAGAGAAUAAGUCUUUUGCAUUUGCAUUUGCACAUCAUGCAUCAUAUGCAUCAUGCAUUGGUCACAAAGGCUUCCAAGUGCUUACCACCUCCUGGUUUCUCUGCCGCAGUGUGAAAAGUGGCUCGUGCUCAGAGAAUUUACGAACCUGAUAGAAUUGAUCGAACCAGAGAAUACAGAAGAAAGAAAAGGGCUAUGGAAGAAGAGAACACACAGCUUCGUACCGAAUUGGCAUCUCUAAGGGAGGAAUUGGCCAAAGCUCAUGAUGCUAUGACUGCUCUGUUGGCUGCUCAGGAACAACCAGUUCCUGUAGUUUCUACAGCUGCAAAUGUGACUCCUACCGUAACAACUGAUCCCCGCUCUAUCAUGCCAUCCGGGUACCCUUACGGACUUCCGCUGUACUAUACUACUAAUACAGGGGCAGGGACCUCUGGUACUACCAACAAUGGCCCAAUCCCAGGGGCAAACUUAACUCCUGUUAGUACCGCCUUGACUCAAGCUGCAACGACUGUUACCGAGCCCAUUGUGAAUGCGGUGCCUCUAUUUGUCCAUGCUAAUGCGCACCACGGGAGUAUUGCCACAACCGGAACUAUGGAAGAGAGAAUGGAAGAACUUGCCAAAGAGCUCCGACGGGAAAUUAAGGCCAACAGGGGAAACGGGGACUCCAUUAAAACCCAGGAUCUCUGCUUGGUAUCGAAGGUAGAUGUUCCAAAAAAGUUCAAAGUCCCGGAGUUCGACAAAUAUAACGGGCUGACUUGUCCUCAAAAUCAUAUUGUCAAAUACGUCCGGAAGAUGGGCAACUACAAGGACAAUGAUUCCCUUAUGAUCCAUUACUUCCAAGACAGUCUGAUGGAAGAUGCUGCAGAGUGGUAUACUAGUCUGAGCAAAGAUGAUGUCCAUACCUUUGAUGAGCUAGCCACCGCUUUCAGGAGCCACUACGGGUUUAACACUCGUUUGAAGCCGAAUAGGGAGUUCCUCAGGUCCCUAUCUCAGAAAAAGGAGGAGAGUUUCCGUGAAUAUGCGCAAAGGUGGAGAGGGGCAGCUGCCCGUAUCACUCCUGCUUUAGAUGAAGAAGAAAUGACCCAGACAUUCUUAAAGACCUUGAAGAAGGAUUAUGUUGAGAGGAUGAUCAUCGCCGCCCCGAACAACUUUUCAGAGAUGGUCACUAUGGGAACCCGUCUUGAGGAAGCAGUCAGGGAUGGAAUCAUUGUGUUUGAGAAAGCUGAAUCUUCUACGAGUGCAUCGAAGAGGUAUGGUAAUGGACACCACAAGAAGAAAGAAACGGAAGUGGGGAUGGUGUCAGCUGGAGCCGGUCAAUCUAUGGCUACUGUUGCACCUAUCAAUGCAGCUCAAAUGCCUCCGUCAUACCCAUAUAUGCCGUAUUCUCAGCAUCCGUUCUUCCCACCGUUUUAUCAUCAGUAUCCUUUGCCACCAGGCCAACCUCAGGUUCCUGUCAAUGCCAUCGCUCAACAGGUACAACAUCAACCGCCAGUUCAACAGCAGCAGCAGCAGUAUACUAGACCAACUUUUCCUCCUAUACCAAUGUUGUAUGCUGAGUUGCUUCCAACUUUACUCCAGAGAGGACAUUGCACAACUAGACAGGGCAAGCCACCACCUGAUCCGUUGCCUCCAAGGUUCAGGUCUGAUCCCAAAUGUGACUUUCAUCAAGGUGCCUUAGGUCAUGAUGUCGAGGGGUGUUAUGCUUUGAAGUAUAUUGUGAAGAAGCUCAUUGAUCAGGGAAAGCUGACUUUUGAGAACAAUGUUCCACAUGUCCUUGACAAUCCACUACCAAAUCAUGCCGCUGUGAAUAUGAUCGAAGUGUGUGAGGAAGCUCCUAGACUUGAUGUCCGCAAUGUUGCCACUCCCCUGGUGCCUCUGCAUAUCAAGCUAUGCAAAGCUUCUCUGUUCAGCCAUGAUCAUGCCAAGUGUCUAGGAUGCCUCCGUGAUCCUUUGGGUUGCCAUACUGUUCAAGACGACAUCCAAAGCCUGAUGGAUGAUAAUCUUCUGACUGUCAGUGAUGUUUGCGUGGUCGUGCCAGUUUUUCACGAUCCGCCUGUCAAGAGUGUACCUUUGAAGAAGAAUGCUGAGCCUUUGGUGAUAAGGUUGCCAGGACCAAUUCCUUAUGUUUCGGACAAGGCAGUGCCAUACAAGUACAAUGCUACUAUGAUAGAAAAUGGAGUAGAGGUGCCUCUAGCCUCCUUUGCCACAGUAAGCAAUAUUGCCGAAGGGACUUCUGCAGCGCUAAGAAGCGGGAAGGUUCGUCCGCCAUUAUUUCAGAAGAAGGUAGCUACGCCAAUCACUCCACCAGUUGAAGAAGCAACUCCAACCGUUGUUUCACCCAUUGCUACAGAUGUGAAUCAGCCAGGCAAGUCUAUAGAGGAUUCGAAUUUAGAUGAGAUUCUGAGAAUAAUAAAGAGGAGCGACUACAAGAUCGUUGAUCAAUUGCUGCAAACUCCUUCGAAGAUAUCCGUCUUGUCACUACUCUUGAGCUCUGAGGCUCAUAGGAAUACCUUGUUGAAAGUGCUGGAGCAGGCUUAUGUUGACCACGAAGUCUCGGUAGAUCGUUUCGGUGGCAUAGUGGGAAAUAUCACUGCUUGUAACAACCUCUGGUUCAGUGAAGAAGAGUGGCCAGAAGUGGGAAAGGGUCACAAUCUGGCUUUGCACAUCUCGGUGAACUGUAAAUCAGACAUGAUAUCAAAUGUGUUGGUGGAUACCGGUUCCUCUCUCAAUGUAAUGCCCAAGACAACUCUAGAUCAGUUGAGCUACCGCGGGACCCCGUUGAGGAGAAGUACUUUCUUGGUCAAAGCUUUUGACGGAUCUCGAAAGAAUGUGCUGGGAGAGAUAGACUUGCCGAUAACUAUUGGCCCUGAGAAUUUCUUGGUUACCUUCCAAGUGAUGGACAUUAAUGCAUCCUACAGUUGCCUGCUGGGAAGACCGUGGAUACACGAUGCAGGUGCGGUUACUUCCACUUUACAUCAGAAGUUGAAAUUUGUGAAGAAUGGAAAACUCGUUACAAUCCAUGGUGAAGAAGCAUACUUAGUCAGCCAGUUGUCUUCUUUUUCUUGUGUUGAAGCAGGGUCUGCUGAAGGGACUGCUUUCCAAGGUUUGACCAUUGAAGGCGCAGAGCCUAAGGAAGCUGGGGCUGCUAUGGCUUCAUUGAAAGAUGCUCAGAGAGCCAUCCAAGAAGGUCAGACUGCCGGCUGGGGCAAGGUGAUACAGCUCUGUGAGAACAAGCGUAAAGAAGGUCUCGGGUUCUCCCCGUCAUCAAGGGUUUCCUCGGGAGUCUUCCACAGUGCAGGGUUUGUUAAUGCUAUCUCUGAAGAAGCCACUGGAUCUGGUCUCAGGCCUGUAUUUGUUACACCAGGAGGCAUUGCGACAAAUUGGGAUGCCGUUGACAUUCCUUCAAUCAUGCAUGUUUCUGAGUAAUGUGUCUUGUUGCUUUAGUACUUUGUUUUCAAAAUAACAAUCCUCUCGCUCUGCCCAAAGCGAGAGUGAUAUUUUCUGUAAGGGCAUGUUUGUUUCGGCAUUGCCGUUGAUUAAUAAAAUUUUGUCGUUUCUUCCACGACUACUUUUUUUAAGUGCUUUUUCCCUUGGAAGCAAUGGUAAUGCCAGAAAAAACCAAAACGUCUGUAUUUUCUUAUUAAUUUCAAAAAUCUGCAUGAAAAAAAACUCUUUCUAAAAAUCAUCCAAUCAUUAUAUGCAGGUUGAACCAUAAUAAAUCCGUUGAACACAGUAAUCCUACGGUUCCUCCAAGUUUUGAUUUCCCUGUAUAUGAAGCCGAAGAUGAGGAAGGUGAUGACAUACCGUAUGAGAUCACUCGGUUACUUGAGCAAGAAAAGAAAGCCAUUCAGUCUCACCAAGAAGAGAUUGAGCUUAUCAACAUAGGUACCGAGGAAAACAAGCGAGAAAUCAAGAUUGGUGCUACCCUAGAGGAAGGGGUUAAACAGAAGAUCAUCCAACUCCUCCGGGAAUAUCCGGAUAUUUUUGCAUGGUCCUAUGAAGAUAUGCCAGGUCUAGACCCUAUGAUCGUGGAGCAUCGGAUCCCUACCAAGCCUGAAUGUCCUCCCGUCAGGCAGAAAUUGAGAAGGACUCAUCCUGACAUGGCCCUCAAGAUUAAGAGUGAAGUUCAAAAGCAGAUUGAUGCGGGUUUCCUCAUGACAGUGGAGGUAUCCCGAAUGGGUUGCCAAUAUUGUGCCUGUGCCAAAGAAGGAUGGUAAAGUCCGGAUGUGUGUUGACUUUAGGGACUUGAACAAAGCCAGUCCAAAAGACAACUUUCCGUUACCUCAUAUUGAUGUGCUUGUUGAUAAUACUGCUCAAUCUAAGGUGUUCUCCUUCAUGGACGGUUUUUCCGGUUAUAAUCAGAUCAAAAUGUCUCCUGAAGAUAGAGAAAAGACAUCUUUUAUCACGCCAUGGGGUACUUUCUGCUACAAAGUGAUGCCGUUCGGCCUAAUCAAUGCUGGUGCUACCUACCAAAGGGGAAUGACCACUCUGUUUCAUGACAUGAUUCACAAAGAAGUUGAGGUAUAUGUGGAUGACAUGAUUGUGAAGUCAGCAGAUGAGGAGCAGCAUGUUGAAUAUUUAACAAAGAUGUUUGAAAGGUUGAGAAAAUACAAGCUGCGACUGAAUCCCAACAAAUGUACAUUCGGUGUCAGGUCUGGAAAGUUAUUAGGCUUCAUUGUCAGCCAAAAGGGCAUUGAAGUCGAUCCUGAUAAAGUCCGGGCCAUCCGAGAAAUGCCAGCUCCACAGACAGAGAAGCAAGUCAGAGGUUUCUUGGGACGUUUGAAUUACAUCUCCCGAUUCAUAUCUCAUAUGACUGCAACCUGCGGGCCGAUCUUCAAACUACUUAGAAAGAACCAGCCUGUUGUAUGGGAUGAUGAAUGCCAAGAAGCUUUUGAUAGCAUCAAGAAUUACCUGCUGGAACCACCUAUCCUUGUCCCACCCGUGGAAGGAAGGCCUUUGAUUAUGUAUUUGGCAGUAUUUGAUGAAUCCAUGGGAUGUGUACUUGGUCAACAAGAUGAAACCGGAAAGAAAGAGCAUGCUAUCUACUAUCUAAGCAAGAAGUUCACCGAUUGUGAAACUCGGUAUACAAUGCUUGAAAAGACUUGUUGUGCUCUAGCUUGGGCUGCCAAACGCCUGCGCCAUUAUUUGGUGAAUCAUACAACUUGGUUGAUAUCCAGAAUGGAUCCGAUAAAGUAUAUCUUUGAGAAAGCGGCCGUUACUGGGAAGAUCGCACGCUGGCAGAUGCUUUUGUCUGAAUAUGAUAUUGUGUUCAAAACUCAAAAGGCAAUCAAAGGCAGCAUUCUUGCCGAUCACCUUGCUUAUCAACCUCUUGAUGAUUACCAACCAAUUGAAUUCGAUUUCCCUGAUGAAGAGAUCAUGUAUUUGAAAUCCAAAGACUGCGACGAACCGUUGAUUAAUGAAGGUCCAGAUCCCAAUAGCAAGUGGGGUUUAGUCUUUGAUGGUGCUGUCAAUGCUUAUGGCAAAGGAAUUGGGGCAGUCAUUGUAUCCCCGCAAGGGCAUCACAUUCCUUUUACCGCCCGUAUUCUGUUCGAAUGUACAAACAAUAUGGCUGAGUAUGAAGCAUGUAUCUUCGGGAUCGAGGGAGCAAUUGACAUGAGAAUCAAACACCUCGACAUCUAUGGAGAUUCUGCGCUCGUCAUCAAUCAGAUAAAGGGUGAAUGGGAGACCCACCAUGCUAAGUUGAUUCCUUAUCGUGAUUAUGCGAGACGUCUUCUGACAUAUUUUACAAAGGUUGAGCUGCAUCAUAUUCCUCGUGAUGAGAACCAAAUGGCUGAUGCUCUUGCUACUCUAUCUUCCAUGUUUCGAGUAAACCAUUGGAAUGAUGUGCCAUUAAUUAAAGUGCAACGCCUUGAAAGACCUUCGCAUGUGUUUGCUAUUGGGGAUGUGAUCGAUCAGGCUGGUGAAAAUAUGGUUGACUAUAGACCCUGGUACUACGACAUCAAACAGUUCUUGCUGAGCCGUGAGUAUCCGCCGGGUGCUUCCAAACAAGACAAGAAGACCUUGAGAAGAUUGGCCGGUAGAUUCUUGUUAGAUGGAGAUAUUCUGUACAAGAGGAACUAUGACAUGGUAUUGUUAAGAUGUGUUGAUGAACAUGAAGCAGAGCAGUUAAUGCAUGAUGUACAUGACGGUACCUUCGGGACCCAUGCUACAGGGCAUACUAUGUCAAGAAAGUUGCUACGGGCAGGUUACUACUGGAUGGCCAUGGAGCAUGAUUGCUACCAAUACGCCAGAAAAUGCCACAAAUGUCAAAUCUAUGCUGAUAAGAUUCAUGUGCCUCCGCACGCUCUCAAUGUUAUGUCAUCCCCAUGGCCGUUCUCAAUGUGGGGCAUCGAUAUGAUUGGAAGAAUUGAACCGAAAGCUUCAAAUGGUCAUCGUUUCAUCUUAGUGGCAAUUGACUACUUUACCAAAUGGGUUGAAGCAGCAUCUUAUACCAAUGUGACCAAGCAAGUGGUAGCUAAGUUCAUCAAGAACAACAUCAUCUGUCGAUAUGGUGUUCCCAGCAAGAUUAUUACCGACAAUGGUACCAACCUGAACAACAAUGUGGUGCAAGCUCUUUGUGAAGAAUUCAAAAUUGAGCAUCAUAACUCUUCUCCUUAUAGACCUCAGAUGAAUGGUGCAGUUGAGGCCGCCAAUAAGAAUAUCAAGAGAAUUGUCCAGAAGAUGGUAACCACUUACAAGGACUGGCAUGAGAUGUUACCCUAUGCUCUGCAUGGCUACCGUACUACCAUGCGCAGUUCAACCGGGGCAACCCCUUUCUCUCUUGUAUAUGGUAUGGAAGCAGUUCUUCCUUUGGAAGUGGAGAUCCCAUCUCUCCGUGUGAUCAUGGAAGCAAAGUUAUCCGAAGCUGAAUGGUGCCAAAGCCGGUAUGAUCAGUUGAAUUUGAUUGAGGAAAAACGUAUGGAUGCCAUGGCUCGUGGACAGUCAUAUCAAGCAAGAAUGAAGACUGCCUUUGACAAGAAAGUCCAUCCUCGAGAAUUCAAGGUAGGGGAACUUGUAUUGAAAAGGAGGAUAAGCCAGCAACCCGACCCGAGGGGCAAGUGGACGCCUAACUAUGAAGGUCCUUAUGUCGUCAAGAAGGCCUUCUCCGGUGGUGCUUUAAUCCUUACACACAUGGAUGGUGUAGAGCUUCCAAAUCCAGUGAAUGCCGAUAUAGUCAAGAAAUACUUUGCCUAAAAAUAUGAAAAGAACAGCGUGGUAGGUCGAAAACCCGAAAGGGCGGCCUAGGCAAAAAUGCGCUUCCCGGUGGAUCGAAAACCCGAAAGGGCGGUCCAGGCAAAAAUAAGGGACAAAAAAAACAACAAAUAUGAAAAGCUCGCUGAGAUUGUACACAACUCAGGCAAGAAUGAGCGUCUCGAUGAGCCGAAAACCCGGAAGGUCGGUUCAUGCAAAAAUGAGAUUGAAACAAAAGGCAAGUAACUAUAUCUGGCCAACCACCGUCCCCCUUGGGGCAUCUGCAGCUGUUAAUGCCUAUCUUCAUCAAAAGCUUCUGUACUUGUGAAUUCGAAGUUUCUGGGAAAUGUCAUGAUUACUGUGUUCAAUGUACCACCAACCAAUAAAAUUACCAUUUUCCAAGCUUUGUGAAUCCGUGGAGUCGUGCCUUCGGCUGAUCACCACUCUUAUACAUCAAUUUGAGCUUGUGCUUUUGUUUGAAACUCUAUUUUUCUUCUACUUUCAAAGCUGUAUACAAAACAUUCUCUUUCCAUUUUGAUAAUGACAAUGCUUGAAACAAACAUUUUUGAAAAUUGAAAACUUUUUGUCUAUUUUGAAAAGCAAACCCGAGCAACAGGGUACAUUCAAAUGAACAUGCAUGAGCGAGUGUGUGUGGGUGUCUAUCUUCAAUAUAUGUUACAAGCAGGUUCUCCUCCAAGAUAAUCUGUGGUCAAUGGCAAGAAUGAAAAAACAGAAUGAAAAUGCAUGAAAAUGAAUGAGCUCGCUAAGUUGAAAACCCGAAAGGGCGACUUAGGCAAAAAUGAGCACCCCGCUGGAUUGACAACCCGAAAGGGCAGUUCAGGCAAAAAUGGGGCAUUGAAAAGAAUUUAUUUCCCCGGUGGGUCGAAAACCCGAAAGGGCGAUCCAGGCAAAAAUGGGAUGCAAAAAAUGAAUGAUGAAGAUUGAGAAUAUAACAUGCAAAAAGCAUUGACCACAGAUGCGAUGUCCACAACAUGCCCAGCACAACGGCAUUAUCCCCAGUAAAGUCUCUCAAGAUUCUAUCCCCAGCAAGUUGCAUAGCUACCAGCCCUCAGCCUAGGUCCCGAAACGUCUCCCAACGACGUCAUCUCCAAAGAGGAUUUCCAAGAAUGUGUAAUAUAGCUCGAGCCACUACGUGCCCAAUACUCUGAUGUCUUGUCUUCCCCGUGAAGUCGUGCCUACAAAAUGCCAACAGUCAUGCAUUACAAGCAUUCAUACAUGCAUAAUCAUGCAUAUUACGUACCCAUGCAUUUAAUGAAAUUGUUAUAUCAUCCAUGCAUAUUGCAUUUCCAAUGUCAACAUCAGUCUCAAUUCAACACUCAUGUCAGGUUCUCUGUCAAAACCUUGUGAGCCAAUAAUAUCGGUCAAUUUCUACCUUUCAAUUCAAAUCGACGUCAAGUCAAUCUCAAUCUAUAUUUUGUCAACAAACCAAUCCCCAGUGAAUAUGUUUUUGUUCGGUCAAGUUACUAGUUCGCAUCCAAGAACGACUUGCACCCGUUUACUUUUCAAUGUUAUCGGUCGAGUGCCCAGCUCAAUCCAAGAGCAGCUUGUACCUGUCUAUUUGUUUCUGUCCGGUGGAGUAACCAGUUCGCAUCCAAGAACAAGCUCACACCUGUUUAUUUGCCUUGCUUUCGGUCGAGUAACCAGUUCGAAUCCUUAAGAACAACUCGUACCUGCCAAUUUUACAUGUUUUCAGUCGAGUCACCAGUUCGAAUCCGUAAGAACAACUCGUACUUGCCAAUUUUCUCUUUUUCCCAGUCGGGUCACCAGUUCGAAUCCAUAAGAACAACUCGCACUUUCCAGUAUCCCCAAGUGAGUUAUCAGUUCGAAUCCAUAAGAACAACUCAUAUUUGUCCAGUAACCUCUAUCCCCUGUGGAGUGACCAGUUCGAAUCCAUAAGAACAACUCGCAGUUGUCUGUUUGUUUCAUUCCCGGUCAGGUGCCCAGCUCGAUCCAAGAGCAGCUUGUACCUGUCCAACUUGUUUCUAGUUUCCCGUUACUCUGCUAUUCACUAUCUUUGUCAAUGUCUACCAAUCCCGCAAUGGAUACGACAUAUUUUGUUAAUUCCAAUCCCCAUGAGGUCUUGCAUUCAUAAUCCAAACGAUGCAUGGCAUGCAUAUUAUUUGAAAAUGGGUAGGCGUAUUUUUACGUCCAAACACAGUGCAAAUGCUAAUAUUUAAGUAUCUUCGUCCUGUCAAGCCAAAGACUCCGUCUCUUGACUCUCCAGACAAAGAAACUUAAAUAGGGGCAGCUGUUAUACCCUGUUUUUGGACCUAAAAAUACUGGGCCCAAUUUCAUUUCAAACUUUGUCAAUUAUCAAAUUUCAACUGCACAGUUCAAAUUGUCUCUGCCUCGCAGUAUUUUUCAAUCACAAUUUUACCUAUGUUUUUCUUGCAUAAAACCUUUCGAAAUGUCUUUACUUGUCUUGUAAGUCAUUCAAAAGUGUCUCUGAAUCAUUACAUUGCUUUUUCCACAGUUUAUUUCAAAAUUUGCAAAGAAGUCAUACAGAAGGGUAUUUUGGUCAUUUCCCGCAGUGGGACCCAUUUUCAUCCUUGUGACUGUCUCUGAGUCUUUUCAAAUUCAUUUUUAACUUUCCAUCAGUAAACCUUGCUAAUUUCGUUUCAAACUUGCAUCUGAGUCAGUGUCGAGUUAAUUUGAUUCUGUUUAGGUCAUUUUUAGCCCUAGGGGCAUUUUGGUCAUUUCACAUAAAAUUUUGGCAUGGGGAGGUUACUUUGAAGUACCUCAUUUAGGCCAUUGGUUCGUUUUAGUCCGUUUUGUCAAUUUUAUUUUUUUGUUUCGCUUUACGUUUUGUCAGGUUACCAAUUUUAUUUCAAUUUUAUUUUAUUUUGCAUUUUGGUCCUCAAAGAGGUCCAAAAUUGCAUUUCAGUCCAGAAUUCUUUCUAUUUGCAUUUUUAGUCCUUUUUGUUAUUUCCAUUUUAGUCCUUUAAUUUUUCAAUUUUGCAGAAAAGGGCUCAAAGUGUCAAGCUCACGUUUUUUUUCAGUUAAAGUCCAGAUGUCACAAUUCUAUUGGUCCAAGAUCACACAUGUCAGCUAUAAAAGGUGUACAGUGCCACACAGACCCAUUAAUCACACGCCAACUCAUAAACACAAAAUCAAUUUUCUCUUUCUCAGCAAUUAGAUCAAAAACAGAAAAUCUCUCAGAAUUUCUCAAGAACACCAGGAACAAAAACCCUAACCGUUUUCCAGAAACCCUAAUUUUCAUCAGAAUCAACAUUUUUUGCAUCAAUCCUCAGAGAUUCGUGUGAAUCUUCAUCACCGGACUGAAGAUUUUCCUGCAAUUCCAAGUGCGAGCUCGCAUUGAAGCAAGCUCAAGCACUGAUCACAGGAUCUCCUCGCGUGGAUCUAAGAAACAUUGAAGCAAGCUCAAGCACGUAAUCACAGAGAAGCAGAGAAAGAGUCAGAGAAGAUGAAGAAUCUGGACCGGUGAAGCAAACAGAAUCAAAAAUCAUCAAGAACAGAAUCAAGAUUUCCAAAGAUUUCCUCCAUUAAAGGUUUCAACCAAAACCUUAGGUAAAACUCAUAAUCUUUUCUCAGAAAAUAAUAUCACUGUUAAACCUAAAAAUCACGCAAGCAAAACAGAUCCAAAAUUUCCAGAAUUCAAAGCCAAAACCGUAACCGUGAACACAAAACCUAGAUCCAUAAGGAUCUAAGUUUUGAAAGCAAAAACAAACAUCAAAGAGGUGUUAAACAACGAAAUGAUGUAGAUCUUCAAGGAUCUAAACGUUUUCUUUCAAAAAAUCAAAAUCAAAUUCAAAGCCGUACGACAAAUUUCCAGAUCUACAUCGUUUCGAAUUGAAUUUGAAAAAACAAUUGCUGGAUUCGUGUUUAGGGUUAAAGGACGAAUUGAUUGAUGAAGAAAUUUUGAAAUUCUGGAAAUUUUAGGUCACCGGAGUUCUUGAACUCGCCGGAGAAGAUGAAGUUUCCGGCGGACCUUCAAGGUCUCCGCCGUAGCUUCAUCCUCGCCGGCGGCGAGGUUAGUGAGAGGUGAGAGAAGAGAGAGGAACUUAGAGAGAGAAAGGGGAGUGAAAAGUGAAGAAAACCGGAACCUCUUCCCUUAUAUAAGCUAGUGAACCAGACCGGUUCAAGACCGGUCCAAUCCUGUUGAUUCCAGGCCGUUUGAUCUAGGGUUUCAGGAUCCUGGAUCAAUCCUGUGGCUCCUGUGAAUCCGGUUCUUUAGGGUUUUGGGUUGGGCCUUUGGUUUCUUUGGAUCUUUACGUUUUGCUAUUUCUGUGCUAUUCACACCCCUAUUUUUUGCUGCCUGCACCUAUGUCUUGAUUAAAAUUGUGAUAAAAUUCCUAGAAAAAUUCAUACAUGUUUCUUGAUAUUUUCUUAGUGUUUUUAUGACAUUUUUGCACAUUAAGGAUCUAUGAAAAUUUUGUAUAAUCAAUUCAUAGCAUUUUAAUUCUCUUUGAAUUAUUUGUUAUGGAUUCUUCUUCACACAUUUGUCCUUGAUGUGAGAAUAUGUAAUAAAAGCUACUUGAUGUGUUAAUAUGAGAGAUUUGUGCCUAUAAUUUCAUGUUGAUUUGCUGUUUUGAUUUGGUUUAUGAGUUCUUGUUUUUAUGAACAAUAUAUCCAUAUUUUGAAAGAUAUAAAAUGCCAAGUUUACUCUAGAAAAUAUGGCAUGAAAUCAUGCUUGCAUGUUUCCAAUAAUUCCAUGCUAUAACUUGAGAUAAAGAAAACUCUUUCAAAAUUUGUUAAAGCAUGAGAAUUAGAGGCCAAGAAUGCUUUAGGUUUCAUACCUAAGUUUUUAGGGUUUAAUGUCAUUUUGUUAACUUUUUGUGCCAUCUUGCAUGCUUUUAUUUCUUAGUACUUGUUAUGUUUUUUCUUUUCACUAACAAGUUUAUUUCCAUGUUUCAUGCAUCCUGUUAUCAUGGUUUUUGGGUGCCAAGCCAUUAAUUGGACUUGUACCUUUCGACCGUUGAUAUCUCUAUUUUUUCUUGGGAAGGGCAAAAUUGAGAAAAAACCCUUAGAUUCUAAGUUCGGGGGUCGGUUUUACUACGGGAAGGUGUUAGGCACCCGGAGUAACUAUAGUCCUCUAUAGGAGCCGUUUUCCUAAGUCUAUAUUCACGCUUAUUUUUACUUACUUUUGAAGAUGGGAGGUUUAUUUAGUUAAGAAUGAGGGGAGAGAAGUUGUAAGACUUUUUAAUUUUAUUUCGGCUUGGAUGAGUUUUGACUCAUUGCCUACGUACCGUUUUACGGGAUCAAAACCGGCGUAGUUCUUGCUAAAAAAAAGACUUGUUUUUCUUUUGUUUUAAUUGUUUGAUUUUAAGUUUUAAAAAAAGGUUUUGAAGAAGGAGAUUGGGAGGCUUCAUGAGCAUUAGAUUUAGCAAAAAAGGUGAGGUUUGAUUAGUGAUUUAGAAAGAAAGUCUAAAUGAUUAAGAUGAAUUGAAUUUUUCUUAAGAAAAAAGAGAAAGGAAAAAAAAAAUGAAGUGUUGACUUCAUACUUAUUAUGAAAAUUUUUGAAGUGAAGUUCAAUUGCUUUUUUUGAAAAAAAGAUGGAUUUUCCCUAAGUGUUCAAACCUAAGCGCUUAUCUAACCAUACAAUCCUAUGCAUACAUCUAAGGUGAGUGUGUGCGUGUCGGUGCGUCAUAGUGUCCAUAGUCCAUAUUACAAAAAUUGCCUAAAUACAUUCUAUGGCCCCUUUGCCAAGCUACAAACCAAUGAUAACAAAUUACAUUACCAAAUGAAUUAAAACUUGCAAAAAAAACAAAUGCUAGGCUAAAAAGUGGAGGGAAUGCUGAGUUUUUAUGGAGAUUCUGUUAGGUUUCUUCGGAAACACUUGGAUUUGGCUUUUGCUUGUUGAUUUCUGGCUUUGAACCGAAAAUAAAUCGGUGAUUCUUCUUUUCUCACUGAUUCCGUUUCUUCAUCUUCUUCGCCGGCUUAAAACCUUGCUUCUUUCCCUUUUCUUCUCCUUUUUCAACGCCUCUGUGAUCGGUGUUGGAGUUCUUCGCCACUGGGGAAGAAUUCUCACCUUGAAUUGCAGAGGGAUCAACUCAGUGAUGAAGAUUCGCCAUUGAAUCUCUGAGAGUUUGAUGCAAAAAUCAAUGAAUUUGUGUAUGAAUUUUGGUUCUGGAAAUUUCUAGGGUUCUUGUGUUCUUGAUGAACUUGAUGAUUUUUCUGUUUCUGAUCUAACUGAAUGGAGAGAGAAAGUCUCAUUGUGUUUGUUGAGUUGGCGUGUGAUUAAUGGCUUUGAAUCUGACUCACUGUUUAUAUAGUUGACAUGUGUACACUUGAGCCAAUGAAAUUGUGACACGUACCCUGGACUUGCUCACUUGGGCGCUGCUUGCUAUUUUAAGGACCAAUCUGCAAAUUGUGAAAAUGACAAGGACUGGACUGCAAAAUUAAAAAAAACUUGAAAUGAAAUAAAUAAUAAAAAAACAGUUUGGACAAAAAUGCAAUUUUGGGACCUCAAUUGAGGGACCAAAAUGCAAUACAAAAUAAAAUUUGAAUAAAAAACGUAAUUUGACCAAACGUAAAGUGAAACAAAAAUAAAAUUGACAAAACGGACUAAAACGAACCAAUGGCCUAAAUGAGGUACUUCAAAGUAACCUCCCCAUGCCAAAAUUUCAUGUGAAAUGACCAAAAUGCCCCUAGGGCUAAAAAUGACCUAAACUGACUCAAACAGACUUGACACUGACUCAGAUGCAAGUUUGAAAUGAAUUUAAACAGGGUUUACUGACGAAAUGUCAAAAAAUGAAUUUGAAAAGACUCGGAGAUAGUCACAAGGAUGAAGAUGGGUCCCACUGCAGGAAAUGACCAAAAUACCCUUCUGUAUGACCUUUUGCAAAUUUUGAAAUAAACUGUAGAAAAAGCAAUGUAAUGAUUCAGAGGCACUUUUGAAUGACUUACAAGACAAGUAAAGACAUUUUGAAAGGUUUUAUGCAAGAAAAACAUAGGUAAAAUUGUGAUUGAAAAUACUGCGAAGCAGAGACAAUUUGAACUGUGCAGUUGAAAUUUGAUAAUUGACAAAGUUUGAAAUGAAAUUGGGCCCAGUAUUUUUAGGUCCAAAAACAGGGUAUAACAGCUGCCCCUAUUUAAGUUUCUUUGUCUGGAGAGUCAAGAGACGGAGUCUUUGGCUUGACAGGACGAAGAUACUUAAAUAUUAGCAUUUGCACUGUGUUUGGACGUAAAAAUACGCCUACCUAUUUUCAAAUAAUAUGCAUGCCAUGCGUCAUUUGGACUAUGAAUGCAAGACCUCAGGGGGAUUGGAAUUAACAAAAUAUGUCGUAUCCAUUGCGGGAUUGGUAGACAUUGACAAAGAUAGUGAAUAGCAGAGUAACGGGAAACUAGAAACAAGUUGGACAGGUACAAGCUGUUCUUGGAUUCAAACUAGCCACUUGACCGGGGAUGAAACAAACAGACAACUGCGAGUUGUUCUUAUGGAUUCGAACUGGUCACUUCACAGGGGAUAGAGGUUACUGGACAAACAUGAGUUGUUCUUAUGAAUUCGAACUGAUAACUCACUUGGGGAUGUUGGAAAGUGCGAGUUGUUCUUAUGGAUUCGAACUGGUGACCCGACUGGGGAAAUUGACAAGUACGAGUUGUUCUUAUGGAUUCGAACUGGUCACUCGACCGAAAGCAAAGGCAAAUAAACAGGUGUGAGCUUGUUCUUGGAUGCGAACUGGUUACUCCACCGGACAGAAAUAGAUAGACAGGUACAAGCUGCUCUUGGAUUGAGCUAGCCACUUGACCAAACGGAAACAUAUUGACAGGUACGAGCUGCUCUUGGAUUGAGCUGGACACUCGACCGAUAACAUAAGCAAAUUGAUAGGUACAAGCUGUUCUUGGACUUGAACUAGCCACUUGACCAAACAGAAACAUAUUCACUGGGGAUUGAGUUUUGUUUGACGAAAUAUAGAUUGAGAUUGACUUGGCGUCGAUUUGGUUUGAAAGGUAGAAAUUGAUUGAUAUUAUUGGAUCACAAGGCUUUGACAGAGAACCUGACAUGAGUAUUGAAUUGAGACUGAUGUUGACAUUGGAAAUGCAAUAUGCAUGGAUGAUAUAACAGUUCCAUUAAAUGCAUGGGCACGUAAUAUGCAUGAUUAUGCAUGUAUGAAUGCUUGUAAUGCAUGACUGUUGGCAUUUUGUAGGCACGACUUCACGGGGAAGACAAGACAUCAGAGUAUUGGGCACGUAGUGGCUCGUGCUAUAUUACACAUUCUUGGAAAUCCUCUUUGGAGAUGACGUCGUUGGGAGACGUAUCGGAACCAUGGCUGAGGGCAGGUAGCUAUGCAACUUGCUGGGGAUAGAAUCUCGAGAGACUUUACUGGGGAUAAUGCCGUUGUGCUGGGCAUGUUGUGGACAUCGCAUCUGUGGUCAAUGCUUUUUGCAUGCUAUUUUCUCAUUCUCAUUUUUCGCAUCCCAUUUUUGCCUGGAUCGCCCUUUCGGGUUUUCGAUCCACCGGGGAAAUAGAUUCUUUUCAAUGCCCCAUUUUUGCCUGAACUGCCCUUUCGGGUUGUCAAUCCAGCGGGGUGCUCAUUUUUGCCUAAGCCGCCCUUCCGGGUUUUCAACUUAGCGAGCCUUUUCAUUUUCAUGCAUUUUCAUUCUGUUUUUUCAUUCUUGCCAUUGACCACAGAUUAUCUUGGAGGAGAACCUGCUUGUAACAUAUAUUGAAAUAGACAUUAACAUACUCUCGCUCAUGCAUGUUUCAUUUGAACGUACCCUGUUGCUCAGGUUUGCUUUUCAAAACAGACAAAAAGUUUUCAAUUUUCAAAAUGUUUGUUUCAAGCAUUGUCAUUAUCAAAAUAGAAAGAAAAUGUUUUGUAUAUAGCUUUGAAAGUAAAAAGAAAAAUAGAGUUUCAAACAACAGCACAAGCUCAAUUUGAUGUAUAAGAGUGGUGGUCAGCCGAAGGCAUGACUCCACGGAUUCACAAAGCUUGGAAAAUGGUAAUUUUUAUUGGUUGGUGGUACAUUGAACACGGUAACCACUACAGUUCUUAGAAACUUUGAAUUCACAAGUACAGAAGCUUUUGAUGAAGAUAGGCAUUAACAGCUGCAGAUGCCCCAAGGGGGACGGUGGUUGGCCAGAUAUAGUUACUUGCCUUUUGUUUCAAUCUCAUUUUUGCAUGAACCGCCCUUCCGGGUUUUCGGCUCAUCGAGACGCUCAUUCUUGCCUGAGUUGCGUACAAUCUCAGCGAGCUUUUCAUAUUUGUUUUUUUUUUUUUUUUUUUUUGUCCCUUAUUUUUGCCUGGACCGCCCUUUCGGGUUUUCGAUCCAUCGGGAAGCGCAUUUUUGCCUAGGCCGCCCUUUCGGGUUUUCGACCUACCACGCUGUUCUUUUCACAUUUCUAGGCAAAGUAUUUCUUGACUAUAUCGGCAUUCACUGGAUUUGGAAGCUCUACACCAUCCAUGUGUGUAAGGAUUAAAGCACCACCGGAGAAGGCCUUCUUGACAACAUAAGGACCUUCAUAGUUAGGCGUCCACUUGCCCCUUGGGUCGGGUUGCUGGCUUAUCCUCCUUUUCAAUACAAGUUCCCCUACCUUGAAUUCUCGAGGAUGGACUUUCUUGUCAAAAGCAGUCUUCAUUCUUGCUUGAUAUGACUGUCCACGAGCCAUGGCAUCCAUACGUUUUCCCUCAAUCAAAUUCAACUGAUCAUACCGGCUUUGGCACCAUUCAGCCUCAGAUAACUUUGCUUCCAUUAUCACACGGAGAGAUGGGAUCUCCACUUCCAAAGGAAGAACUGCUUCCAUACCAUAUACAAGAGAGAAAGGGGUUGCCCCGGUUGAACUGCGCACGGUAGUGCGGUAGCCAUGCAGAGCAUAGGGUAACAUCUCAUGCCAGUCCUUGUAAGUGGUUACCAUCUUCUGGACAAUUCUCUUGAUAUUCUUAUUGGCGGCCUCAACUGCACCAUUCAUCUGAGGUCUAUAGGGAGAAGAGUUAUGAUGCUCAAUUUUGAAUUCUUCACAAAGAACUUGCACCACAUUAUUGUUCAGGUUGGUACCAUUGUCGGUAAUAAUCUUGCUGGGAACACCAUAUCGACAGAUGAUGUUGUUCUUGAUGAACUUAGCUACCACUUGCUUGGUCACAUUGGUAUAAGAUGCUGCUUCAACCCAUUUGGUAAAGUAGUCAAUUGCCACUAAGAUGAAACGAUGACCAUUUGAAGCCUUCGGUUCAAUUCUUCCAAUCAUGUCGAUGCCCCACAUCGAGAACGGCCAUGGGGAUGACAUAACAUUGAGAGCGUGCGGAGGCACAUGAAUCUUAUCAGCAUAGAUUUGACAUUUGUGGCAUUUUCUGGCGUACUGGUAGCAAUCAUGCUCCAUAGUCAUCCAGUAGUAACCUGCCCGUAGCAACUUUCUUGACAUAGUAUGCCCUGUAGCAUGGGUCCCGAAGGUACCGUCAUGUACAUCAUGCAUUAACUGCUCUGCCUCAUGUUCAUCAACACAUCUUAACAAUACCAUGUCAUAGUUUCUCUUGUACAGAAUAUCUCCAUCUAACAGGAAUCUACUGGCCAAUCUUCUCAAGGUCUUCUUGUCUUGUUUGGAAGCACCCGGCGGAUACUCACGGCUCAGCAAGAACCGUUUGAUGUCGUAGUACCAGGGUUUAUAGUCAACCACAUUUUCGCCAGCCUGAUCGAUCACAUCCCCAAUAGCAAACACAUGGGAAGGUCUUUCAAGGCGUUGCACUUUGAUUACUGGCACAUCAUUCCAAUGGUUUACUCGGAACAUGGAAGAUAGAGUAGCAAGAGCAUCCGCCAUUUGGUUCUCAUCACGAGGAAUAUGAUGCAGCUCAACCUUUGUAAAAUAUGUCAGAAGACGUCUCGCAUAAUCACGAUAAGGAAUCAACUUAGCAUGGUGGGUCUCCCAUUCACCCUUUAUCUGAUUGAUGACGAGCGCAGAAUCUCCAUAGAUGUCGAGGUGUUUGAUUCUCAUGUCAAUUGCUUCCUCGAUCCCGAAGAUACAUGCUUCAUACUCAGCCAUGUUGUUGGUACAUUCGAACAGAAUUCGGGCGGUAAAGGGAAUGUGAUGCCCUUGCGGGGAUACAAUGACUGCCCCAAUUCCUUUGCCAUAAGCAUUGACAGCACCAUCAAAGACUAAACCCCACUUGCUAUUGGGAUCUGGACCUUCAUUAAUCAACGGUUCGUCGCAGUCUUUGGAUUUCAAAUACAUGAUCUCUUCAUCAGGGAAAUCGAAUUCAAUUGGUUGGUAAUCAUCAAGAGGUUGAUAAGCAAGGUGAUUGGCAAGAAUGCUGCCUUUGAUUGCCUUUUGAGUUUUGAACACAAUAUCAUAUUCAGACAAAAGCAUCUGCCAGCGUGCGAUCUUCCCAGUAACGGCCGCUUUCUCAAAGAUAUACUUUAUCGGAUCCAUUCUGGAUAUCAACCAAGUUGUAUGAUUCACCAAAUAAUGGCGCAGGCGUUUGGCAGCCCAAGCUAAAGCACAACAAGUCUUUUCAAGCAUUGUAUAUCGAGUUUCACAAUCGGUGAACUUCUUACUUAGAUAGUAGAUAGCAUGCUCUUUCUUUCCGGUUUCAUCUUGUUGACCAAGUACACAUCCCAUGGAUUCAUCAAAUACUGCCAAAUACAUAAUCAAAGGCCUUCCUUCCACGGGUGGGACAAGGAUAGGUGGUUCCAGCAGGUAAUUCUUGAUGCUAUCAAAAGCUUCUUGGCAUUCAUCAUUCCAUACAACAGGCUGGUUCUUUCUAAGUAGCUUGAAAAUCGGCCCGCAGGUUGCAGUCAUGUGAGAUAUGAAUCGGGAGAUGUAAUUCAAACGUCCCAAGAAACCUCUGACUUGCUUCUCUGUCUGUGGAGCUGGCAUUUCUCGGAUGGCCCGGACUUUAUCAGGAUCGACUUCAAUGCCCUUUUGGCUGACAAUGAAGCCUAAUAACUUUCCGGACCUGACACUGAAUGUACAUUUGUUGGGAUUCAAUCGCAGCUUGUAUUUUCUCAACCUUUCAAACAUCUUUGUUAAAUAUUCAACAUGCUGCUCCUCAUCUGCUGACUUCACAAUCAUGUCAUCCACAUAUACCUCAACUUCUUUGUGAAUCAUGUCAUGAAACAGAGUGGUCAUUCCCCUUUGGUAGGUAGCACCGGCAUUGAUUAGGCCGAACGGCAUCACUUUGUAACAGAAAGUACCCCAUGGAGUGAUAAAAGAUGUCUUUUCUCUAUCUUCAGGGGACAUUUUGAUCUGAUUGUAACCGGAGAAACCGUCCAUGAAGGAGAACACCUUAGAUUGAGCAGUAUUAUCAACAAUCACAUCAAUAUGAGGUAAUGGAAAGUUGUCUUUUGGACUGGCUUUGUUCAAGUCCCUGAAGUCAACACACAUCCGGACUUUACCAUCCUUCUUUGGCACAGGCACAAUAUUGGCAACCCAUUCGGGAUACUCAACUGUCAUGAGGAAACCCGCAUCGAUCUGCUUUUGAACUUCAUUCUUGAUCUUGAGGGCCAUGUCAGGAUGAGUCCUCCUCAAUUUCUGCCUGACGGGAGGACAUUCAGGCUUGGUAGGGAUCCGAUGCUCCACGAUCAUAGGGUCUAGACCUGGCAUAUCUUCAUAGGACCAUGCAAAAAUAUCCGGAUAUUCCCGGAGGAGUUGGAUGAUCUUCUGUUUAACCCCUUCCUCUAGAGUAGCACCAAUCUUGAUUUCUCGCUUGUUUUCCUCGGUACCUAUGUUGAUAAGCUCAAUCUCUUCUUGGUGAGGCUGAAUGGCUUUCUUUUCUUGCUCAAGUAACCGAGUGAUCUCAUACGGUAUGUCAUCACCUUCCUCAUCUUCGGCUUCAUAUACAGGGAAAUCAAAACUUGGAGGAACCGUAGGAUUACUGUGUUCAACGGGUUUAUUAUGGUUCAACCUGCAUAUAAUGAUUGGAUGAUUUUAGAAAGAGCUUUUUUUUUUCAUGCAGAUUUUUGAAACUAAUAAGAAAAUACAGACGUUUUGGUUUUUUCUGGCAUUACCAUUGUUUCCAAGGGAAAAAGCACUAAAAGAAAAGUAGUCGUGGAAGAAACGACAAAAUUUUAUUAACCAACGGCAAUGCCGAAACAAACAUGCCCUUACAGAAAAUAUCACUCUCGCUUUGGGCAGAGCGAGAGGAUUGUUAUUUUGAAAACAAAGCACUAAAGCAACAAGACACAUUACUCAGAAACAUGCAUGAUUGAAGGAAUGUCAAUGGCAUCCCAAUUCGUCGCAAUGCCUCCUGGUGUAACAAAUACAGGCCUGAGACCAGAUCCAGUGGCUUCUUCAGAGAUAACAUUAACAAACCCUGCACUGUGGAAGACUCCUGAGGAAACCCUUGACGAUGGAGAGAACCCGAGACCUUCUUUACGCUUGUUCUCACAGAGCUGUAUCACCUUGCCCCAGCCGGCAGUCUGACCUUCUUGGAUGGCUCUCUGAGCAUCUUUCAAUGAAGCCAUAGCAGCCCCAGCUUCCUUAGACUCUGCACCUUCGAUGGUCAAACCUUGGAAAGCAGUCCCUUCAGCAGACCCUGCUUCAACACAAGAAAAAGAAGACAACUGGCUGACUAAGUAUGCUUCUUCACCAUGGAUUGUAACGAGUUUUCCAUUCUUCACAAAUUUCAACUUCUGAUGUAAGGUGGAAGUAACCGCACCUGCAUCGUGUAUCCACGGUCUUCCCAGCAGGCAACUGUAGGAUGCAUUAAUGUCCAUCACUUGGAAGGUAACCAAGAAAUUCUCAGGGCCAAUAGUUAUCGGCAAGUCUAUCUCCCCCAGCACAUUCUUUCGAGAUCCGUCAAAAGCUUUGACCAAGAAAGUACUUCUCCUCAACGGGGUCCCACGGUAGCUCAACUGAUCUAGAGUUGUCUUGGGCAUUACAUUGAGAGAGGAACCGGUAUCUACCAACACAUUUGAUAUCAUGUCUGAUUUACAAUUCACCGAGAUGUGCAAAGCCAGAUUGUGACUCCUUCCCACUUCCGGCAACUCUUCUUCACUAAACCAGAGGUUGUUACAAGCAGUAAUAUUUCCCACUAUACCACCGAAACGAUCUACCGAGACUUCGUGGUCAACAUAUGCCUGCUCCAGCACUUUCAACAAGGUGUUCCUGUGAGCCUCAGAGCUCAAGAGUAGCGACAAGACAGAUAUCUUCGAAGGAGUUUGCAGCAAUUGAUCAACGAUCUUGUAGUCGCUCCUCUUUAUUAUUCUCAGAAUCUCGUCUAAAUUUGAAUCCUCUAUAGAUUUGCCUGGCUGAUUCACAUCUGUAGCAAUGGGUGAAACAACGGUUGGAGUUGCUUCUUUAACUGGUGGAGUAAUUGGCGUAGCUACCUUCUUCUGAAAUAACGGCGGACGAACCUUCCCGCUUCUCAGCGCUGCAGAAGUCCCUUCGGCAAUAUUGCUUACUGUGGCAAAGGAGGCUAGAGGCACCUCUACUCCAUUUUCUAUCAUAGUGGCAUUGUACUUGUAUGGCACUGCCUUGUCCGAAGCAUAAGGAAUUGGUCCUGGCAACCUUAUUACCAAAGGCUCAGCAUUCUUCUUCAAAGGUACACUCUUGACAGGCGGAUCGUGAAAAACCGGCACAACCACGCAAACAUCACUGACAGUCAGAAGAUUAUCAUUCAUCAAGCUUUGGAUGUCGUCUUGAACAGUAUAGCAGCCCAAAGGAUCACAGAGGCAUCCUAGACACUUGGCAUGAUCAUGGCUGAACAGAGAAGCUUUGCACAGCUUGAUGUGCAGAGGCACCAGAGGAGUAGCAACAUUGCGGACAUCAAGUCUAGGAGCUUCCUCACACACUUCGAUCAUAUUCACAGCGGCAUGAUUUGGUAGUGGAUUGUCAAGGACAUGUGGAACAUUGUUCUCAAAAGUCAGCUUUCCCUGAUCAAUGAGCUUCUUCACGAUAUACUUCAAAGCAUAACACCCCUCGACAUCAUGACCUAAAGCACCUUGAUGAAAGUCACAUUUGAGAUCAGACCUGAACCUUGGAGGCAACGGAUCAGGUGGGGGCUUACCCUGUCUAGUUGUACAAUGUCCUCUCUGGAGUAGAGUUGGAAGCAACUCAGCAUACAACAUUGGUAUAGGAGGAAAAGUUGGCCUAGUAUACUGCUGCUGCUGCUGUUGUUGUUGUUGUUGAACCGGCAACUGUUGUUUCAUCUGUUGGGCAAUUGCAUUGACGGGCACUUGAGGCUGGCCCGGUGGCAAAGGGUACUGAUGAUAAAACGGUGGGAAGAACGGAUGCUGAGAAUACGGCAUAUAUGGGUAUGACGGAGGCAUUUGAGCUGCAUUGAUAGGAGCAACGGUAGCCAUAGAUUGACCGGCUGCAGCUGACACCAUUCCCACUUCCGUUUCUUUCUUCUUGUGGUGUCCAUUACCAUACCUCUUCGAUGCACUCGUAGAAGAUUCAGCUUUCUCAAACACAAUGAUCCCAUCUCUGACUGCUUCCUCAAGACGGGUUCCCAUGGUGACCAUCUCCGAAAAGUUGUUCGGGGCAGCAAUGAUCAUUCUCUCAACAUAAUCUUUCUUCAAGGUCUUUAAGAACGUCUGGGUCAUUUCUUCUUCAUCUAAAGCAGGAGUGAUACGGGCAGCUGCCCCUCUCCACCUUUGCGCAUAUUCACGGAAACUUUCCUCCUUUUUCUGAGAUAGGGACCUGAGAAACUCCCUAUUCGGCUUCAAACGAGUGUUAAACCCGUAGUGGCUCCUGAAAGCGGUGGCCAGCUCAUCAAAAGUAUGGACAUCGUCUUUGCUCAGACUAGUAUACCACUCCGCAGCAUCUUCCAUCAGACUGUCUUGGAAGUAAUGGAUCAUAAGGGAAUCAUUGUCCUUGUAGUUGCCCAUUUUCCGGACGUAUUUGACAAUAUGAUUUUGAGGACAAGUCAGCCCGUUAUACUUGUCGAACUCCGGGACUUUGAACUUUUUUGGAACAUCUACCUUCGAUACCAAGCAGAGGUCCUGGGUUUUAAUGGAGUCUCCAUUUCCCCUGUUGGCCUUAAUUUCCCGUCGGAGCUCUUUGGCAAGUUCUUCCAUUCUCUCUUCCAUAGUUCCGGUUGUGGUAAUACUCCCGUGGUGUGCGUUGGCAUGGACAAAUAGAGGCACCGCAUUCACAAUGGGCUCGGUAACAGUUGUUGCAGCUUGAGUCAAGGCGGUACUAAUAGGAGUUAAGUUUGCCCCUGGGAUUGGGCCACUGUUGGUAGUACCAGAGGUCCCUGCCCCUGUGUUAGCAGUAUAGUACAGCGGAAGUCCGUAAGGAUACCCGGAUGGCAUGAUAGAGCGGGGAUCAGUUGUUACAGUAGGAGUCACAUUUGCAGCUGUAGAAACUACAGGAACUGGUUGUUCCUGAGCAGCCAACAGAGCAGUCAUAGCAUCAUGAGCUUUGGCCAAUUCCUCCCUUAGAGAUGCCAAUUCGGUACGAAGCUGUGUGUUCUCUUCUUCCAUAGCCCUUUUCUUUCUUCUGUAUUCUCUGGUUCGAUCAAUUCUAUCAGGUUCGUAAACUCUCUGAGCACGAGCCACUUUUCACACUGCGGCAGAGAAACCAGGAGGUGGUAAGCACUUGGAAGCCUUUGUGACCAAUGCAUGAUGCAUAUGAUGCAUGAUGUGCAAAUGCAAAUGCAAAAGACUUAUUUUCUCAUCGAAGGAUUUUUAAACAAAUUAGAAAUCUUGCAAAUAAACAAAACUACAUAGUAUUCUCAACAGAAAGACUUUGAAAUAAACAUAUGAAGCCCUCAAGCAUAGGAAGCAGUCGGAAGAUCAUCGGACUCGGAAUCUGAAUCACAGUAUCUGGCAAAGAAGUCUCGUCGUCCUCUGGCUCUCUUGGAAUCCCUCAUAAGCAGCUCGUCUUUCUCUUCCAAUUCCCUCCGGGCCUUAGCUAGCUCUUUCUUCAACAUUAAAUUCUCAUGAGUCUUCUGCUCAUCUCUACCAUCCAAAGUCAUGAUUAGAUUCUCGGCUUGAUUAUACCGAGCUUUCCACACUUGCUUCUCACGACUCUCCAUAGCUAGAUGCUCCUGAUACAUAUCCUGAGUCGCGGGGAGUAGAGGUAGAGGCAUAGAUGGAGUAGACGAAGACACGUAUCUCAUAGCUGGAUAAGGCAUACCAAUCUCCUCAGCUCGAUCUAUCACCCACUGAGUAUAGGCCUCAUGAGCAACACCGGAUCUCACACCUAGAUGCUUCACACUCUUCCUUCGAACCUUGGACCAAGCAUCCAUGAAAGCUUUCCUUUGUCCGGUAGGAGCAUUCGCAUAGAAGAAGAACUCUGGAGAUGUAGCAAGAUUGAUGGGCUUCGACUUCAUAGGGAAACCAAACUGUCUCAUAGCAAGCUCGGGAUUGUAGUUAAUUCCUCCCCGAGUACCAAGAAGAGGUACAUUGAGAAAGUCUCCACAACCCAUAAUGAUUUCCUUCACUUGAGCGGCAGGAGUGAGCCAGACGACCUCAUUAGGAGUGAGGGCCAUAAUCCGCUGCGAGUAGGACCAGUUCUCCGAGUUAUCAUGGAAGGAACUCGGAAGGUGCGAAAUAAACCACCUAUACAAAAGAGAUGUGCAGCAAAGAAUAUACCCACGGCCCUUGAGAGUCCUGUCAUGAAUGGCGUGGUAAGUAUCCGCUAGCAAAGUAGGAACCGGGUUCUUGGAAUGAAAGAUCUCGAUAGCAUUCAUGUCCACGAAGUUGUCGAGGUUCGGAAAGAGAAUGAGCCCGUAGAUAAGCAAAGCAAGAAUAGCCUCAAGUGUAUCCUGACGAGUAGUACCGAGAUUAGCCUGAUCAAGAAGAUACUUCGAAGUAAACCCCCGGAUGUGAGACUUGGUAAUAAGAUGGUUGGAGACGUCGGAAGUCUUGAGGUAGAGAUCCUUAGCAAUAACCAGAGGAGUAAGAGGAGUCCCAGGACCGGUGAAAGGCGUCUUCUCGGCUAUAGGUAAACCCACUAGAUUGGAGUAAGCCUCAAGAGUAGGAACCAACUGGAAGUCCGGGAAAGUGAAGCAACGGAAGCUCGGAUCAUAAAAUUGCACCAGAGUGUGCACUAGCUUCUCGUCCACAUCGGUUCGGAGCAAAGUAAGCAAUCCCCCAUACCGGAGUCGGAACCCUGUUUGGCUCUUGACCUUGAGCGCCAACUCUCUCAAACUAACCAAAUCCACUUCCUUGAACUUGUAGCACUUAGUCUUCUUCAUACCUGUGAUUAUUUACAAAAAAUUUCCAUUUGUUUAAGUCCUUCGAUGAAUGCAUGAAAAAUGUUUAUGCAUGAAUGCAUGUAUGCAUGAUUGUGUUGUUUAGUUACAAUGUGGGUUGAGAUUCAAAGUAACAAGGCCACGGAUGGACACGGUGUCCGGUGAACUAAGGCUUUGGAUAGUAGUAACCAAGGUUCUAACACAGUUCCCAAACUGCAACCUCUCUCACAUAUAUCAUGGUAGUACAGGACGACACCCGUUCCAUGUUUAUUUGUGAGAAGGUCUAGCUUGAGUGUAGUAUCGCGUGACGACUAAAGUUUGAGACAACACUCAAUUUAGCCACCGCACUACGUCCUAAGAAGGCUAGGAUGGGUUUGGUAACUACGGUUCAUAGCUUCGUCGAACAAUUGAAAGUGAAGUGCCUAAGCAUGACAACACACGCCGACAAUACCACCUUCAAAAUGCCUCAGCUAUGUGAGAUUGAUCGCAUAAUCCAAUACACGAGGCAACCCCCGGAUCGAAUUGUCGAUUAUAUCUCUACCUAAACAUAAGUUCACUCAGCCCGGGUAUAGGACUUUUGAUAUUCUCACCCCACACGUCAAAUGAAAAUAAACAAGUAUUCACAUGUGUAGGCAAUAAAAUAAAGCAUAAAUAUACACUAAGGAAAACUAGGCGCGACCCGCUAAAAAGAAUUUCCCCAGUGAAGUCGCCAUUUCUGUUAUCAUGGUUUUUGGGUGCCAAGCCAUUAAUUGGACUUGUACCUUUCGACCGUUGAUAUCUCUAUUUUUUCUUGGGAAGGGCAAAAUUGAGAAAAAACCCUUAGAUUCUAAGUUCGGGGGUCGGUUUUACUACGGGAAGGUGUUAGGCACCCGGAGUAACUAUAGUCCUCUAUAGGAGCCGUUUUCCUAAGUCUAUAUUCACGCUUAUUUUUACUUACUUUUGAAGAUGGGAGGUUUAUUUAGUUAAGAAUGAGGGGAGAGAAGUUGUAAGACUUUUUAAUUUUAUUUCGGCUUGGAUGAGUUUUGACUCAUUGCCUACGUACCGUUUUACGGGAUCAAAACCGGCGUAGUUCUUGCUAAAAAAAAGACUUGUUUUUCUUUUGUUUUAAUUGUUUGAUUUUAAGUUUUAAAAAAAGGUUUUGAAGAAGGAGAUUGGGAGGCUUCAUGAGCAUUAGAUUUAGCAAAAAAGGUGAGGUUUGAUUAGUGAUUUAGAAAGAAAGUCUAAAUGAUUAAGAUGAAUUGAAUUUUUCUUAAGAAAAAAGAGAAAGGAAAAAAAAAAUGAAGUGUUGACUUCAUACUUAUUAUGAAAAUUUUUGAAGUGAAGUUCAAUUGCUUUUUUUGAAAAAAAGAUGGAUUUUCCCUAAGUGUUCAAACCUAAGCGCUUAUCUAACCAUACAAUCCUAUGCAUACAUCUAAGGUGAGUGUGUGCGUGUCGGUGCGUCAUAGUGUCCAUAGUCCAUAUUACAAAAAUUGCCUAAAUACAUUCUAUGGCCCCUUUGCCAAGCUACAAACCAAUGAUAACAAAUUACAUUACCAAAUGAAUUAAAACUUGCAAAAAAAACAAAUGCUAGGCUAAAAAGUGGAGGGAAUGCUGAGUUUUUAUGGAGAUUCUGUUAGGUUUCUUCGGAAACACUUGGAUUUGGCUUUUGCUUGUUGAUUUCUGGCUUUGAACCGAAAAUAAAUCGGUGAUUCUUCUUUUCUCACUGAUUCCGUUUCUUCAUCUUCUUCGCCGGCUUAAAACCUUGCUUCUUUCCCUUUUCUUCUCCUUUUUCAACGCCUCUGUGAUCGGUGUUGGAGUUCUUCGCCACUGGGGAAGAAUUCUCACCUUGAAUUGCAGAGGGAUCAACUCAGUGAUGAAGAUUCGCCAUUGAAUCUCUGAGAGUUUGAUGCAAAAAUCAAUGAAUUUGUGUAUGAAUUUUGGUUCUGGAAAUUUCUAGGGUUCUUGUGUUCUUGAUGAACUUGAUGAUUUUUCUGUUUCUGAUCUAACUGAAUGGAGAGAGAAAGUCUCAUUGUGUUUGUUGAGUUGGCGUGUGAUUAAUGGCUUUGAAUCUGACUCACUGUUUAUAUAGUUGACAUGUGUACACUUGAGCCAAUGAAAUUGUGACACGUACCCUGGACUUGCUCACUUGGGCGCUGCUUGCUAUUUUAAGGACCAAUCUGCAAAUUGUGAAAAUGACAAGGACUGGACUGCAAAAUUAAAAAAAACUUGAAAUGAAAUAAAUAAUAAAAAAACAGUUUGGACAAAAAUGCAAUUUUGGGACCUCAAUUGAGGGACCAAAAUGCAAUACAAAAUAAAAUUUGAAUAAAAAACGUAAUUUGACCAAACGUAAAGUGAAACAAAAAUAAAAUUGACAAAACGGACUAAAACGAACCAAUGGCCUAAAUGAGGUACUUCAAAGUAACCUCCCCAUGCCAAAAUUUCAUGUGAAAUGACCAAAAUGCCCCUAGGGCUAAAAAUGACCUAAACUGACUCAAACAGACUUGACACUGACUUAGAUGCAAGUUUGAAAUGAAUUUAAACAGGGUUUACUGACGAAAUGUCAAAAAAUGAAUUUGAAAAGACUCGGAGAUAGUCACAAGGAUAAAGAUGGGUCCCACUGCAGGAAAUGACCAAAAUACCCUUCUGUAUGACCUUUUGCAAAUUUUGAAAUAAACUGUAGAAAAAGCAAUGUAAUGAUUCAGAGGCACUUUUGAAUGACUUACAAGACAAGUAAAGACAUUUUGAAAGGUUUUAUGCAAGAAAAACAUAGGUAAAAUUGUGAUUGAAAAUACUGCGAAGCAGAGACAAUUUGAACUGUGCAGUUGAAAUUUGAUAAUUGACAAAGUUUAAAAUGAAAUUGGGCCCAGUAUUUUUAGGUCCAAAAACAGGGUAUAACACAUCCCAUUUAGCAUUCCCUCCACUUUCUUUAGCCUAGCCUUUAUCUUUUGCAAGUUUUAAUUCAUUUGGUAAUGUAAUUUGUUAUCAUUGGUUUGUAGCUUGGCAAAGGGGCCAUAGAAUGUAUUUAGGCAAUUUUUGUAAUAUGGACUAUGGACACUAUGAUGCACCGACACGCACACACUCACCUUAGAUGUAUGCAUAGGAUUGUAUGGUUAAAUAAGCGUUUAGGUUUUAAACACUUAGAGAAAAUCCAUCUUUUUUUCAAAAAAAAAUAAUUGAACUUCACUUCAAAAACUUUCCUAAUAAGUAUGAAGUCAACACUUCAUUUUUUUCCUUUCUUUUUUUCUUAAGAAAAAUUCAAUUCAUCUUAAUCAUUUAGACUUUCUUUCUAAUCACUAAUCAAACCUCACUUUUUGCUAAAUCUAAUGCUCAUGAAGCCUCCCAAUCUCCUUCUUCAAAACCUUUUUUCUCAAAACUUAAAAUUAAACAAUUAGAACAAAAAACAAGUCUUUUUAGCAAGAACUACGCCGGUUUUGAUCCCGUAAAACGGUACGUAGGCAAUGAGUCAAAACUCAUCCAAGCCGAAAUAAAAUCCAAUUCUACUUCUUCUCACCCCCAUUCUUCACUAAUCAUACUUUCUUUUUUACAAAUAAGCAAUAAAACUAAAGCGUAGAAAUAAACUUAGGAAAGCGGUUCUUAUGGAGUACCAUAAUCGCUCCGGGUGCCUAACACCUUCCCGUAGCGAAAACGACCCCCGAACUUAGAAUCUAAGGGUUUUUCUCAAUUUUGCCCUUCCCAAGAAAAAAUAGAGAAUAUCAACGGUCAAAAGGUUCAAGUCCAAUUAAUGGCUUGGCACCCAAAAACCAUGAUAACAAUAAGAAACUGAAAUAGUGUAUUUUGUUUAUAACCCUCCGUCCCAUAAAAACCGAGCCAUUUGCAAAAAAAUAUUGUCUCAGAAAAAUUGACUCAUUUCACUUUUCAAUACAAUAUUAAUUACUUUUUUUUUCCUUUCAAUUAUAACACUAAUUAAUAUUACUUUCACCACUCCCAAUUUAAUAUAUUCUAAUUUGCAUUUAUGAUAAAGAAGAAUGCACCAAUAGUUACUCAAAACCAUUUUUCUCUCUCUUUUUACUUAUACAUAUUUUCUUAAUAAGUGUGAAAUGAGCUAAGAGCUGAGCUCGAGCUCAGUUAAAAUGGGACGGAGGAGGAAUGUAAUUCAAAGUAACUCAAUUUUAUGCUAUUUAUUUAUUUAUGCUGAAGCCUCAUUAUAAUAGUAUAUAGUGAUAUGUGUGAGAAGCAUAGGAAAAGUACAUAUGGUGAUGAAUGAUGGAACAAGCUUAAAGUCAUAAUUAUUAUUGUUCAAUCAUAAAUAGAUGGUCCCCCAAUUAGAAAAGUAUUUAUGAUCCCCCAUUUUAAAAUGACCCUCGUCCUUUUUUAGAAUUUUAAUCUUAAUAAUGGUGAUAUAUCAUAAUUAAAUGGAUGCAUUUAGGAAGUUUAUAAAUAAUUUUAUAGGUAUUGAUGAUUUUACAUUAUCGGAUCGUAUGACACAUCAUUUAAAAUAUGUCAUGUUAUAGUUUUUUAGUUUAAAAAUAUGAAGAAAAAGAUAUGUCACGUCAGUACUUUUGAGUCCAAAAAUAUAAAAAUAGGCCAAAACGAAUUAUUCUAAAAUUUGGGACAAAUUUCAUGAAAAUAAAGACCUAGAGUGUAGUUAAGACUUAUAACUAUUUUAAACAUUCCUUAAAAAAACUAAUCUAUAAAAUGACAUACGAUUAAUUAUAAAUAUGAUUGACAUAUACUCUAAAAAAGGAAAUGUUUGCAUAUGGUAUUUUAAACACCGUUCUCGUGAACUUAACUCAAUUGAUACGGACAAUGCUUAAUAUGUGCAAGGUCUAGGGUUUUAACCUUGAUCACAAAAAAAACACCAAUAUUUUUUUUCGGGGAUAUUAAACACCAAUAUUCUUUGGAUACUUCUACCCUAAUAUCCAUUACUAAAGUAUUUUAAAUUAUUUAUUUAAUUUUUGUGUGGCUUUUGAUGGUCUAAUCCUAAUUUGUAGAGCAACAUGCAAAUAAUUGGACUAUAAAAGUUACGUGCACAAUUUUUCAUCAAGAAUUUUUUGGCAGCACGCAUUGAAAAUUUGUGUCUCAUUAAGAAUUUGUUAGCACUACGCAUGCAUAUUCUUUUGGGCCUGUCAUCCUGUGUAUUUUCAUUUUCAACAGUAAUUUGUCGGCACUACUAAGCAUCUAUAUCUAUCUUUGUUUUGAAACAGCAAAACUUAUAAAAAAAUCCACUCUUUAGACAAAAACGAACAAAUACCGACAAUUCAAAAACUACAAAAUAAAACGUCAUAUGUAGGCAGAACACAAAAAAAACACCAUAACAUAUCUCACCUCACCAAACAAAAACCUACGUUCAACCGCCAUAAGAAAACAAUCACCAAACCCAACUUCAUCACUCAAACCAAACUCCAUCGCAAACGACCACUGAAAACAAAAUCCAUAAACAUCCAUCGUCCGCUACUCACCCCAAUACCUCCAAAAACCAUCUUAAACAUCAUCAUCUUCUCAUCACCAUAACCUAGCCCAAUUUAACACCCGAAAAGUCCUAUUCCAACUCUCCUUCGGGUUCUACCACCCCUCAUCCCCUGGUCCACCAAAGAAAACAUCAUAAAUAUCCCAAAAUAAACUUGACUCACCGUAUAUUUAUAUCUAUAUCUAUAUCUAUAUCUAUCUAUAUAUCAAUUAAUUCAGGCUCUCAAGUUAUAUCUAUUAAUUUAGGCUCUCAAGUUAACCUCUUCACAACUCACCAUGUUAUAUAUAUCAUAUAGUCUAAUUUUGGCCACAUCAAAUAAAUUCUAAUGUGACAUCUUCCAAAACACACCAUUCCUUAUUCUCUCGUUGCCUUGCUUCAUAAUUUAUGUAUUAUUACAUCUCAUUCCCUUACGAAUUCACAAUUAAAUGACGUUUACUACAUGUCAUAACUCUCAUGUAAUAACGUCAAAUAAGAUGCAUGACCUUAAAUGUCAAAUCAUUAUUAUUAUUAUUAUGAGAGAAGAAGUGAAUGAAUAAUAUUCUCAUUAUUGAUCAAAUGAUAGAGGUUACAACUUAUAUAGUCAUGGUCUAGGAAUACAGUAAUACAAUAGUGGUAACAUCGAAUAUAAAAACUAAGAUAGCUAACUCUACUUGAUAAUAACUCUCAUGUAAUGUCAAAUAAGGUGCAUAACCUUACAUGUCAAAUCAUUAUCAAAUUUAUUACGAAAUUAAUCAAGAACCAAACCUUGAUCCAACAUGGAACUCAAUCAACAAUCAACCCACUUAUUUUGUCGUUAACAUGUUUGUAUGUUUUUUUCUUUUGUUCUCUUUGUAUCAUUUGAUUAUUACUUUAUUGUUUAGAUUCUUUAGAUUGAAUGUGUUUUUUCCUUCAUCUCCUAUGCAAUUAAUAUAUGGACAUGUUUUAAUUCGGUAAUAACGGUGUGCUCAUCAAAUUGGCAAAAUGUUUCCACAUAAAAAAAAAUAAAAAAAUAAAAAAUGUAGCGGUUCAUGUCUAAUAUGAAUCCGGUUAAUAAAAUAAUAUUUUUUUCUCUCCAAUUUUUGCUAAACAUAGGACACCAUUGUUAUUUUUUGCAUGUUAUUUUUUAAGCGACACGUUUUAUAGAUUUUUUUUAGGGAACAUUGUAUGGAAUUUUAGGAAAUGGAUCUCGCCAACUUAAUUUUUUUGUCAGGUUGUCUAGUGGUUCGAGUUCACACAUAUUAGAGAUAUAUAGUUUAGUUACAAGUAGUACUAGUCCUGGUAGUAUAUAUAGUUGUAACCACCUCAUAAGUGGGAUACUUUUCACUCAUUAGUAAUAUUUCAUUUCUAUCAAUACAAAGAGUUUGUUAGAUUUUGCUCCUUCGAUCUAUGGAUGCCAUGUUUCCUAACAACACAUUUUAAAUGUGGUGAAAUAGAGUAUCCGAGUUUAAACCCUAACCCCUACAUAUAUUAUGCGAUGUCCUUAUCAAUUAAGCUAUGUUCACCGGAAUAUUUCUUUCUGUUUUCACAUCUCAACCAUCAUAUAACCUCUCUCUCAAAUUCCAAUAUCAAUGUCAUCUCCUCUUUAUAAUUUAAUGGUCUAGAUUCCCACACUAAUUCUUCAACUUCUUUUUUACCAUGUAUCAUUUUUGUCACAUCACUUAUUUUUCAACAUGCAAGACUUUAUUCCAUUUUGCAUAUCCUACACUCCAUGUUUGUAAUUGCAGACGAUCUAAUUUCUCAUAAAUGAUCUCAACCUAGGAUCAUGGAUAUGGUCAAUAUCAUGGAUACCGCUAGAAAAUUCAUUUGUAGACCACAAAUGAAUUUUCUAACGGUAACCACAAAUGGAUUUAUGGUUAUAUAUAUAUAUAUAUAUAUAUAUAUAUGCGCGCACGCUGGGGGCCAUGAGUGAGAUGAGAACUGAGGGAGAAGGAUCCACAUAUGCAAUGGUUGCUAGUGAAAAUCCUUCCUUAUCUUAGUUUCAAAGGAUUUAUUCCAUUGCAUCUAUAUAGAAAAAGAGAAAAACUAAAAAUGUGUAGUUCUGUUAUUGAUCAAACAAAUAGCUAACUAAAACUAUAUUAACUAUACCCUCUAGAUGCAGACAAAUAGAAUGCUCAUAUACAUAUUCCCACCAAUAUUCUUCACUUCAAAUGAAUAUAACUAAAUGUGUCGGGGUCGUUUAGGUUUCAAAUAUCAACAUGUGUCGGACACUAAACACACAUCAAUUUGAAGUGUCAAUGCUACACACUUUAAAACCUUUGACCUAAGCAAGCUUACCAUGUCUAUUUUACAUUAAAACUGUUUUCCAUGCUAGAGUAAAACAUUUACUUAUGAUUUGUAUUUAAUUAGUUAGUUAUUCCUAACAAAACUAUAAAUCUUGUAGAAUAGAGAAGGAUGUUAGUUUAAACCUGUACACACGGCAAAAUGAUUGUUUUGCCUUAAUUUAUCCUUCACAUGAGAAUGGAAUUCAAGAUACUGUGGAAAAAACCUAACUCACCCAACUGCAAUUAUUCAAAGCUAUAAAAUUCAACUAAUAAAGAUUUAAAUACAUGCCAUAUAACUAUCUAAUUCAAUCCAUUUAAUAUUAGCAAUAACCACUAUUUUAUUUUAAGAAUUCUUGCACAAGAUAUGUUCAAUUCCAUCAUCAUAAACUGAUUACUUAUUAGCAUCAUCUCUUAAAUUCAAUGUAAUACUAAAUUGCAUAAAAAAAAGUCACUUAGGUUUGAUUUUGUUUAAGCAAAACCUCCUUAAUCACUUUUUCCAAAUUCAUGUAUGAACAACCACCAGGUCUCGUGUCCUCCUCCGCCUUCGUCUUCAUCUCAAUUAUCUUUUUCCACAUCUUCUUUCCUUUCUCCCCCUCCAUCAAUUCAUUGACCAAAUUCUCUACCUCAUCUCUCUUCACAUUGGUGUCAAUUUCCAUGCCAAUCUCCCAUGUAUUGCAAAUAUAUCUGCAGUUUGCUGGCUGAUCAGCAAAAAAUGGCCAACACAACAUUGGAACUCCAGCAGAUAUGCUUUCAGUGGUUGAGUUCCAUCCACAAUGAGUCAAGAAUCCACCAAUUGAAGGAUGGUUUAAUACUUGCUCUUGCGGGCACCAGCCCGCGAUUAGGCCUCUAUCUGAAAUUUCAUUGACAAACUCCGAUGACAAAACAACUGAGCCACCGAUGACAAGAUCGGGCCUAAUGAUCCACAAAAAGGGUUGCUUGCUAUUUGCUAAACCCCAUGCAAACUCUAACAGUUUUUCUGCCGUCAUAACUGUCAUGCUCCCAAAAUUCACAUAAACAACGGACCUCGGUUCCUUGGAUUCAAGCCAACCAAGACACUUGUUAUCUUCUUUCCAAAGAUUGGUACUUAAACUUGCCAAGUGAUUAUGUGGACUUUGACUUAAAAGUGAAGAUAAAGGGCCGAUACCACAAAUAUUUGGGAACGUCGAGGAGAGAACAUUCAUUACAUCCUUCUCAAGUUCACUAGAAGUAUUAAAAAUAAAAGCAGACGCUUUGUGAGCCCUUCCUGCUGCUUCAACGAUAAAUUCUACCAUCGAAUCAUUUGUAUCUGUAAUCCUUAUAAAGUCAGGCAGAUCCUUCAGUCGAAAGUUCUGCAAUCCUGGAAUACAAUCCACUUUAGUGUCCAAAUAUCCGUUUGUCAGAUAACUCUCAUCUACAUGUCAAAUUUAUAAAAGUUGUUAGCUGGAAAUAAAAUCUCCAUACUCCUAAUACAUGUCAUUUGAUUUUGAACACUUUAACUAUUCUACAUAUAUGAAGAAAGCAAGAAGAUUAAUUGUUACCUUUUAGUGGUAUGAGACCUUUAUCCAACAAUGUACUAAAAUGAAUAAAAGUCAAAAAUGUACAUGCAUUGGAUGGACUAAAGAAAACAGAAGGGAUUGAAAGUUCUUCAGAAGCUUGUAUGGUAAAAGACAUGCCAAUAUCAGAAACUAUGCAAGUAACUGGAGGGACAAGACCAGAUGUUGCAGAGUCAUUUAGUCUAGCAAGAAGUUCGCGGAAAGGUUGUAGGAAGUUCUUUCUGAUUGAUUUACAAAGAGCGUAAAUGUCUUGACUAACAUCGCCAUCACCAUCCGUUGGAGUUAAACCAUCCGGAAUAGUCUCAAAGCUAAAAUCAGUGAAACCAUCAAAGGCAUUUGGACCUCUUGACUUGAGCAACCGUUUGUGGUUGUAUUCAGUGUUUACAUAGGUUAUGUGAAAUCCUCUAAGGUGAAGAAGUUUUGCUAGUUUCAACAAUGGAUUGAUAUGGCCUUGAACUGGAUAUGGAAUUAACACAGCAUGUGGUUUUUUAUCACUCAUUUUUGAGUUUUUGUGUUUGAAUGUUGAGCUAAGGGAAGCCAAUGGUUUAAUAAAGAUAAAGCCAAUGUUUCUUGGAUUUGUGUAAAAGAAGAUAAGAGACAAAAGUCAAGGAAAGCAAACUCAAAUUCUAAGUAAUAUGUAACACAAUAAUUGAUACAUACUUAUCAAGUCACCACUUUUUGUUAUAGAAGGAAAACAAUUUUUCAUUAAAAAGUUUAUUGAACAAACUUAAGCAUGCCUUUUGGUUUGCGGUGGCGAGAAUUGAUUUGAAUGAAUUUGUUUGAUAAAAUUAGUAUCAGGUUAAAAGUGCGUUGAAUAUAAAAUAAUUUGUGUUUAUAUAAAUUUACGUAAAAUUGAUUUGAACUAUAAAUUGAAGACUAAAAAUCGAUUAUAAAAACAAAAUUUUGAUAUCUUAACUUUAAAUUACGAGCAAUUUGGAGACAAAAUCAAUUCUAUUUAAUUUGAGAACACAUAACCAUAGGGUCUGACUAGGCUUAUCUAAGAUCCCUAAUGUAACCAACUUGCAUCUAAUCAUAACUAACUUAUAACUAUCUUGAAAAAUAUCAAACUAAUUUUAACAAAUCUGAAACUAUAUCUAACACAUACUUGCAUGGAAUUGCAACCAUUCAGUAGAAAGAUAUUAUCAAACAAAAUCUUCAUAUGCUUUAGUCAAAAAAAAGGAAAAUCUUCAUAUGCUUGUGGACCAACUGAUCCAUACGUUUCAGUUUCAAAAUUGAACUAGAUGACACUUUUAUUCAAGUAAGUGUAAGAUAGUUCUGACAUCAAAGAUUUUUGUUGUACAAAGAAAAUAAUCAUGACCACUUAUUUAUUUUAUAAUAGUCUAUUGGCUAUUAUUUUCCAUGCUUGAAUCAGUCAGACAUUGGACAUCACAAAAAAAAAUUGUCCUUUUCAACAAAGGCUCAAGAUUAUCUCCAAAGUCACAAUUGCAUAAAAGCCAAAUUUACUUUUAUUGUGCAGAGAAAAGUGGAUGUAUAUUAUCAACACUGCCUUCCAUAAGGGCUUCGUGUCCUCUAAUUUUUUUUUUUACUAGUCUUUGUUAUGUCCUUUAUCAUGUCUAUGAGGUAUCAACUCAAUGGUAAGAGUUUGAGCUUUUAACCUCAAGGGAAAAAGUACAAUUCCCCUUAAUAACAGUGGUAAAAAUGCUCAUUGUUGUAACUUUAAUUAAUAAACCCUUAUAUUGACUAAUAGGAAUGUUAAAAUAUUUCUUGAAAUCUCAUGUUGAAAGUUUGUUCUUCUUUUCGGUUUGAUUAGUGUUCCCAUGCACUAGGCGCAGUUGUUUGUUGUUUUCAGCUUGUUGUAAUUUGUAGCUUGCGCAAGGCGAAGGAUAUAGCUGACUGAGGCGCAGGUGUGCAUCAAGAUCUAUAGAUAAGCAGGUUUUGCAUCAGUUUUCAGGGUAAAAAAGUGGGAAUUCUAAGGUAACAAAAGAGGGAAUUUGUAGGGUUAAAAGUUCACAUAUAUAGAUAAGAAUUUGUAGGGGACAUUGAUGAUUUCACACAAUUUGCAUUUGCAUCAUCGGUGAAUGUUUUUGAAUGUUCAUAGAGGAAAGAAACUUUGAAUUCAAAUGCUUUCAAAUCAAUCUAUGCAACAAGAAGCUGACAAAGUAGUGCAGAGAAAUUUUAUAAACGAGCUAAAGAAGAAUAUAAAUUUAAUAUUAUUAUGAUUUUGAAGUAUUGUCUUACUUCGAAGUAUGAACAGCAAUGUACCAUACUUAAGAACAUAGCAAGACCUAAAAUACAAAUGAUUUGUUCCUAACAAAACUAUAUAUAUUGUAUAAAAGUAACUUAUGUUUGAUUUUGUUUAAGCAACACCUCCUUAAUCACUUUCUCCAAGUUCAUGUAUGAACAACCUCCAGGUCUCGUGUACACCUCCGCCUUUUUCUUCAGCUCCAUGGCCUUUUGCCUCAUCUUCUUUCCUUUAUCUCAGGACAUCAAUUCAUUGACCAGUUUCUCCACGUCCUCCCUCUUUACAUUUGUAUCAAUUUCGUUUCCAAUCUUCCAUUCAUUGCAAAUAUAUCUUCAGUUUGCUGGCUGAUCUGCAAAAAAUGGCCAACACAACAUUGGAACUCCAGCACAUAUGCUUUCAGUGGUUGAGUUCCAUCCGCAAUGAGUCAAGAAUCCACCGACUGAUGGGUGGUUCAAUACUUUCUCUUGUGGACACCAACUUGCUAUUAGUCCUCUAUCUGAAAUUUCUUUCAAAAAUCAGAUGAGAAAACCACCGAGCCACCAAUGACAAGAUCAGGCCUAAUGAUCCAUAAAAAUGGUUUCUUGCUGUUGGCCAAACCCCAAGCAAACUCUAAGGCUUCUCUUGAGACUUAACAGUGAUGCUGCCAAAAUUUACAUAAACAACAGAUCCUGGUUCUUUUGAUUCAAGCCAUUCAAGACAUUUAGUAUCUUCUUUCCAAAGAUUACAGUCUAAAGAUGUCAAGUGAUUUUGUGGACUUUGAUUUACAAAAGAAGCUAAUGGACCAAUUGUGUAUAGAGAAGGGAACAUAGAAUAGAAAGCAUUCAUAACAUCACUCUCAAGUUCAUUAGAAGUAUUGAAUACCAUACCAGAAGCUCUAAGACAUUUAUCUGCCACUUCAGUGUUAAAUCUUAUCGUCAAGUCAUUAGGAUUUUUUGUCUUUAUUAACCUAGGAAGAUCCUUCAAUCUGAAGUUUUUCAAACCUGGGAUCCAGUCAACUUUCGUGUCCAGAUAUUCAUUUGUUAGAUCACUCUCAUCUGCAUGUCAUAAUUGCAAAAAUCAAUAGCUUAAAGUCAUAUGUAUAAAUAUAUAUCAUGGUUUAAAAUCACAUUAACAAUAAUAAUUUUGCCUGUGCUAUCAUAUUGAUAUUGCAUAUAAUCCCAAUCAAAUCUGGCUGAUGAAACCUCAAUUGUGAUUAUAGAGACAUCGCAACCUUGAUGUUCGGCCCAUAUUGUGACCGCAAAGCUUUUUUAAAAACCAUAACAUACACACAAAAACACACACAGAUCUCCUAAAAAGAAAAAGGGAACAGAAAUGAUUACCUUUGAAUGGUAGUUGACUAUUCUGAUACAUUUUAGGACUGAGCAAACAAGCCAAGAAAUAACAUGCUCUACUUGGGGAAAAAAGAACAACUGGGAGUGCAUGUUCUUCAGCAGCAGCUACUGUAAAUGGCAUGUAGCAAUCAGAAACUAAGCAAGUGACUGGGGGGAUAAGACCAGCAGUGGCAGAGUCUUGAAGUUUAGCAAGAAGUUCAUCAAAGAAGUGGUGAAAGUUCGUUAUGAUUGAUUCACCAAGAGAGUGUAGGUCUUGACUAAUAUCACCAUCACCAUCCUUUGGAGUUAAACCAUCUGGUAUAGUCUCAAAGUUAAAGUCAGUGAAACCAUCAAAGGCAUUUUCACCUCUUGAUUUAGCAAACGUUUGUGAUUGUAUUCAGUGUUAACAAAGGUUUAUGUGAAAGCCUCUUAGGUGAAGCAGUUUUGCUAUUUUCAACAAUGCAUUGAUAUGACCUUGAACUGGAAAUGGAGUUAAUUAACACUGCAUGUGGCCUUUUCUCUUCAAAGUUGGUCAUGUUUGAUAUUUUUCUUAUGUAAGAAAACAGAGAAAAAACUGAGGUGAAAAAUCUAUGAGGCCUCUAUAACAAUGAGUAAGUUUUGUUACAUAUCUAUUAUCUAUUAUAUAGUAUAAAAAAAUUCUUAAGAAUAGAAAAACCAUUUUUUUUUAAUAAUUCAAUUACUGUCUAAUUCAUGUUUAUCUAAUUUUUAGUAUUUUAAUAAUUGAGAAGAUAAUAAUAUUUUUUUUAAUGUUGACGUUCCGAUUUUUAGAGAAAAUGGGUUCUGAUAAUUUGGAGUUCGGUCGUGAGGUAAACAUCACCUUACCAAGAAUUGAGAAGAGAAUAAAAUAAAAUAUAAUAACAUGAAUCUAACUGAAAAAUGAGGAGAUUGAAACUCCGAAAGCAACGUCUGCAUGUUGAAAGGAGACCACUUUCUAUACACACACAAUGGUGUUCAGACGGGUACAGACUUGCCAAUCUAUUUAUUAUGACCAACUAAACAAACAUACGAUUUUUAAACGUUAUCUAUGCGGACAGACUCUGGACCAUUGUUCAAGUCACAUGACUUUUAAACGUUAUCAAUUUGGUGCGCUUUUAAUCGAUUUUGAGGCUAAAAGACAUCCCAAUCGUAAGAUAAAAGAGUAUUUAGUUUGGUUUGGUUCAGUUGAUUUUUAAAAUAAAAUUUAAACCAAACCAAACCAAUAUGAUUUGAGUUGUAUUGGUUGAUGCGGUUUUUUUGAGACAAUACAAUUUUUUGUUUCCAACAUUAAAAUCGAGUUAAAAAGCUAUAACACAACAUAUUUUCAAUAAUGUUUGAAACAAUGUUUUCAAUUUCAUCCAACAUUACAAUUUUAUUUUCACAAAACAAAAUAGACGAAAUUUAAAAUGUGGACAAAAAGUAAUCCUAUUAUUUAAUAAAUGUAAAAGAUUAAGAUUUAUUAUUCUUAAAAUUUUAUUUUAUAAUUUUUUUAAUUUUUGAAAUAGAAAGCAAAGAAGAAACUUAACGUACAAGGGAAAAAAAUAUGCCGUUUUAUAAAAGUUUUUAUUGAGUUUCUAUGAGUAUUGGUGUAGGUGACAUAGGUUUAAUUUGGUUAGGUGACAUAGUUUCUAUGAGUAUGUCGUUUUACAAAAUAGUUUUUUUGCAUUUUUUGGUAUAUAAGAAGAAACAUAAACUAGUAUACAUAUGAUUUUUUGACAAAAUGGAUCCUUCACAUGAUAAUGGAAUUCAAGAUACUGUGAAAGAAUUCUUAUUCACCCAACUUAACAUAUUUAAACUUGUAGGAUUUAUAUUAUAAAGUUAAUAUACAUGCCAUAUAAUUAUCCAAUAUGCAUAUAUUCAAAACACUUAAAAUUAGCAAGAAUCACUAUUUAAGUUCAGGAACUCUUGCUGAAGAUGACUUCACUUACAUCAGAACUUAAAUUCAAUAGGGGAAGAUCAAUUAAUUAUCGUUGAACUGAAUUGCAUAAAAAAGUUACUUAAAUUGAUUUUGUUUAAGCAAAACCUCCUUGAUCACUUUGUCCAAGUUCAUGUAUGAACAACCUCCAGCUCUCGUGUUUUCCUCCACUUUCUUCUUCAACUCAAUUGCCUUUUGCCGCAUCUUCUUUCCUUUCUCUCCUGACAUCAAUUCAUUGACAAGUUUCUCCACCUCUUCUCUCUUUACAUUCGUAUCGAUUUCCAUCCCAAUCUCCCAUUCAUUGUAAAUAAGUCUACAGUUUGUUGGCUGAUCACCAAAGAAUGGCCAACACAACAUUGGAACUCCAGCACAUAUGCUUUCAGUGGUUGAGUUCCAUCCGCAAUGAGUCAAGAAUCCGCCAAUUGAAGGGUGGUUCAAUACUUUCUCCUGUGGACACCAACUUGCAAUUAAGCCUCUAUCUGAAAUUUCAUUCACAAACUCAGAUGACAAAACGACUGAGCCACCAAUGACAAGGUCAGGCCUAAUGAUCCACAAAAAGGGUUUAUUGCAAUUGGCCAACCCCCAAGCAAAUUCCAACAGUUGUUUUGGUGUCAUAACUGUAAUGCUUCCAAAAUUCACAUAAACAACGGAUCCCGGCUCCUUGGAUUCAAGCCAUUCAAGACACUUAGUAUCUUCUUUCCAAAGGUUGGAACCUAAAGAAUCCAAUUGAUGAAUUUGUGGAGUUUGGUUUAAUAAUGAAGGUAAAGGGCCAAUGGGGUAAAGAGAAGGAAACAUAGAGGAGAGAGCAUUUAUUACAUCACUCUAAAGUUCAUGGAAAGUAUUCAAAACAAUUGUAGAGUCUCCAAGAACUUUAUCAGCCGCAUCAAUUACAAAGUCUAACAUAAUAUCAUUUGGAUCUGUUGUCCUGAUACUGUCAAAGAUAUCCUUUAACCGAAAGUUUUUCAAACCUGGAAUCCAAUCUACAUUAGUUUCCAAAUAUCCAUUUGUUAGAUAGCUCUGAUCUGCAUAUCAAAUGUAUCAGUUAAUAUCUUGAAGGUUAUACAUACAUCCGUACAUACAUGAGUAUUUUGUUUUCGACAAAAACAUACAUAUAUAAUAAGGUAUUAUAAAUUGAAUAAAAGUCAUUUAUUGAUGUAUAAAUUUUAAUUUUGAAGUUUUAUGAAAUUUGUGGAGUUCCUCUAUUCAAUAAGAGUUUUUAAUUUGAUGGUUGCUUUAUUGAAAUUUAGUGUCUACAUUGAGUUUUAUAUUAACUGAAACUAUAUCAAGUGUUACUCUUGGAGUAAGUUGAUUAUCUCGCACACGACCAUUUAUAUAGAUUUAAUUCAUAUAUAGAGUCAAAGUAAAAGUUUUUUACACCGUCAAUAAAUCAUAAGUGUCAGAAUAGUGUAGCAAAAUUAAUAUUAAUCUCUCUAUAAAUAUAUACUUUAUGAAGAAAAAAACUUAACUUAGUACCUUUGAGUGGCGUGAGACCUUUUUCUACAAAGGAACGUAAGUGGUGAAUACUCAGUAACAAACUUGCACUGGAUGGAAAGAAGAUAACAAUUGGUAGUGCAAAUUCUUCAGCAGCUUGUAUAGUAAAGCUCAUAAAAUAAUCAGAAACUAAGCAAGUAACUGGUGGAACAUUGGCAGAGUCAUUAAGUCUUGUAAGAAGUUCACAAAAAGGUUUAAGGAAAUUUUUUCUUAUAGAUUGAGCAAGAGAAGGUACAUCUUGACUAACAUCACCAUCACCUUCUAUCGGUGUUAGACCAUCUGGUAUGGUUUCAAAGCAAAAACCACGGGAACCAUCUAAGGCAUUUGGACCUCUUGAUUUUAGCAAUCGUUUAUGAUUGUAUUCAGUGUUGACAAAGGUUAUAUGAAAUCCUCUAAGGUGAAGAAGUUUUGCAAGUUUGAACAAUGGAUUUAUAUGUCCUUGAAAUGGAGCUGGAAUCAACACAGCAUGUGGUUUUCUGUUUGCAAAACUUCCCAUCUUUGAAAUUUUUCUGUUUGUAUGUUAUUUGUGCAAGAUAUGAGGUUGAAAAACAAGUGAUAGGCAUGUGCUUUUAUAGAGAGAAAAAAGGACAAUGCUACAAAAUUGAAAAAUAUAAAGAAAUCCAAACAGAUAAAUUCUGGGAGGUUCUAACAAAAGGAAAUAAGUUCAUUGUAUGAAAAGACAGACACAUAAAAAGACACCAAAAAUGACACUGACACGUUAACGUCAAUGAUAAUUUGAGAAAUAAAUUAAUUCAAUGUAAUUACAAUGUGUCUGACAUAAAAUUGAAAUCUUAUACAGGUAUGUUCUUGUAAACUUUCCUAUAUGACUCAUUAUAUUGAUUGAAUAUGUUUGUUGGUAUUUGGUUUAACCAAUCAAUGUGGCAUUAACAAUUCAACUGUUACUUGUUACUUAGAUGUCGUUUGAGAUUUAUUUGGGAAUUGAUAAAAUAGAAAAGUUGAGAAAAACUUUAUAUUGUGAUCCUAAAAUCACUAAUAUAACCAAAUUGAAUCUAACCAUAUCUAACUAUCUUCCAAAAUAUUAAACUAAUUUUAACAAAUCUGAAACUACAUCUAACACAUACUUGCAUGGAAUUGCAACCAUUCAGUAGAAAGAUAUUAUCAAACAAAAUCUUCAUAUGCUUGUGGACCAACUCUAUACGUUUCAGUUUCAAAAUUGAACUAGAAGGCACUUCUAUUCAAGUAAGUAUAAGAUAGUUCUGACAUCAAAGAUUUUUGUUGUACAAAGAAAAUAAUUAUGUCCACUUAUUUAUUUUAUAAUAGUCUAUUGGCUAUUAUUUUCCAUGCUUGAAUCAGUCAGACAUUAGACAUCACAAAAAAAAUAUUAGUCCCUUUCAACAAGGGCUCAUGAUUAUCUCCAAAAGUUACAAUUGCAUAAAAGUCAAAUUCACUUUUAUUGUGCAGAAUAGUGACUAGUGGAUAUGUUGUCUUCAUUAUCAAUGGUACCUUCCAUAAGGGCUUUGUGUCCUCUAAUUUUUUUACUAGUCUUUAUUUAUGCAUGUAUUAUAAUCCUUUAUCAUGUCUAUGAGAUAUGGGCUCAAUGGUAAAAAUUUCAGCCAGUAAUCUCAAAGGACAAAGUUCAAACUCCCUUGAUAACAGUGGUAAAAUGGUCAUUGUUGUAACUUUAAUUAAUAAUUCUUAUUUUCACUAAUAAGAAUGUUAAAAUAUGUCUUGAAAUCUCAUGUUAAAAGUUUUUUUUCUUUUCGGUUUGAUUAUUGUCCCCAUGCGCUGGGCGAAGCUGUUUGCUGUUUUCAUCAUGUUGCUAUUUUGUUGCUUGGAUGAGGCGAUAUAGCUAAAUGAGUCAUAGGUGUGCGUCAAGAUCUAUAGAUAAGCAAUUUUUGCAUCAGUUUUCAGGGUGAAAAUGUGUGAAUUUUAGGGUUACAAAAGAGGGAAUUUUUAGGGUUAAAAGUUGAGAGCUUUUGGAAAAAUUAUAGGAUUAGGAAACAUUUUUGUACAUCUUGGAAAUAAAGCAUCGAGUCUUUUGUCCAUCGGAAGAGAAUUGGGAAAAUUGUAACCCUUGUAUUUCUUUGUAAGAAACUCUUUGUUAGUGGUAAGCCAGAUUUGGGUCGAACUGGAUAACUUUGUUUUGGUUGUUGCUAAUAUUUCUCCACACUUCAAAGUAUUGAUGUGAGUUUUUACAAAUUCACAACAACUGGAACCCACCGUGGGAGAAAUAAGAGGUAACUUUUUCAAGUGUGCAACAUGGGUACCAACUGGGAUAUCAAUAAAUUUAUCGGAGACAACGAUUUGGGGCUGUGAAAAGUGAAGAUGAAAGAUGUGUUGAUUCAACAAAAGUUUGCAGAAGCACUGAAGGAUGAGGUUGCUCUCCCAGCUACCAUGUUACAAGCAAACAAGACCGAGAUGGUGGACAAGGCCAUGAGUGUCAUUGUCUUGUGCCACACUGAUAAAGGUUUUAGAGAAAUCGUAAAGGAGCAAUUGACGAGUCCUACAAAAUCCUUGAUGAUUUGACAACUAUUAAAGUGGAUAUUGAGGAUGAAGACACGGAUAUACUCUUAUUAUUAUGAGCAUUAGCUAGAUCCUUUGAGAACUUCAAGGAUACUAUGCUUUAUGGUAAAGAAGUCAUUGUCACUUCGAGGAAGUCCAAGAGGCACAUAACCAAGUCCAAGAACUUGAAAGUUGAUGAUAGUGGUGAAGACAUGAGUGUCUAAAGAGGAAGACGUAUAAGUUGAUGAAAUCGAGGAAGCUCAAUUGAUGGUGCAAGUUGAAGUACAAAUACUCCAAGUGUCAAACGACCGGUCACUUCAAUAAGGACAUUCCCAAGUUAGAGGACAUUAAUGAUUCCGCACAAUUUGCAUUUGCAACAUCAGUGAAUGUUUUUGAAUGUUCACGGAAAGAACCUUUAAUUUCAAAUCAAUCUAUGCAACAAGAAGCUGAUAGUGUAGUGCAGAGAAGUAUGCUUUUGAAGUAUGAUUUCCAAGACAUCCUUAAUCACUUUGUCCAAGUUCAUGUAUGAAGAAUCACCAGGUCUUGUGUCCUUCUCUGCCUUCUUCUUCUUCAACUCCACGGCCUUUUGCCUCAUCUUUUUUCCUUUCUGUCCCACCAUUAAUUCAUUCAUCAGCUUCUCCACCUCCUCUCUCUUCACAUUUGUAUCAAUUUCGAUUCCGAUCUCCAACUUAUUACAAAUAUAUCUGCAGUAUGUUGGCUGCUCAGAAAAAAAAGGCCAACAUAACAUUGGUACUCUGGCACAAAUGCUUUCCAAUGUGGAGUUCCAUCCACAAUGAGUCAAGAAUCGUCCAACUGAAGGGUGGUUCAACACUUGCUCUUGCGGACACCAGCUUGCUAUUUGGCCUCUAUCCGAAGUUCCAUUCACAAACUCGGAUGACAAAAUAACUGAGCCACCAAUGACAAGCUAAGGCCUAAUGAUCCACAAAAAAGGUUUCUUGCUGUUGGCAAAACCUCAAGAGAACUCUAACUGCUCUGGAGUCAUAACCAUAGUGCUUCCAAAAUUCACAUAAACUACAGAACCUUGUUCCUUAGAUUCAAGACAUUUCAUAUCUUCUUUCCAAAGAUUGGAACCUAAAGAAGCCAAGUGCUUUUGGGGAUUUUGAUUCAAAAACGAAGAUAAAGGGCCAAUGGCGUAAAUAGAAGGGAUCUUAAUAGAUAGAGCCUUUACUACAUCACUCUCAAGUUCAUUAUAAGUAUUGAAAACAAUAGCGUUAGCUUCAUGAACCAUAUCGUCCGCUUCAAUGAUAAAAUUUAUCAUUAGGAUCAGUAGUUCUUAUAAAAUCAAGCAGGUCCUUUAGUCUAAUGUUUCGCAAACCUGGAAUCCAGUCAACUUUAGUGACCAAAUAUCCAUUUGUCAGAUAACUCAUCUGCAUAUUAUAAUCACAAAAUCCAUUAGCUUAAAGUUAAAACUCUGAACCCCUAAUAUAUAUCAUAUUAAUUCUAAUACUACAUUCUAUGUUGUAUACAUACUCUCAGUUUCUCCAAAGGAAGAACUUCCAUAGUAAAACUAAACUAUAGUAAUGAAACUCUUCACUUCUGCAUAAUAGUCCUACACUAUCGAUAAAGAAAGAACAUAAAUGAUUACCUUUGAGGGGUAUGACACCUUUAUCAAUAAAUGUACGAAAGAGCAAAGCACACAAAAGUGAGGAUGCACUAGCAGGAAUAAUUCAAUAUCAGAAACUAAGCAACUAACAGGAGGAAUAAGAUCAUCAUUGGAAGAAUCUUUUAAGUUUAGCAAGAAGUUCACAAAAAGGGUGAUAGAAAUUCUUUCUUAUUGAAUCAUCAAGAGAGACAAUUUCUUGACUAAUAUCACCAUAACCUUCUGUCGGAGUUAAACCAUCUGGAAUAGUCUCAAAGGUAAAAUCAGUGAAACCAUCAAAGGCUUUUGGACCUCUUGAUUUGAGCAAAUGUUUGUGAUUUCGGUGUUGACAAAGGUUAUGUGAAAGCCUCUAAGGUGAAGAAGUUUUGCUAGUUUCAAUAAUGGAUUGAUAUGGCCUUGAAGUGGAUAUGGAGUUAUGCUUACUGAUAUGAGUGAGAAGCAUAAGAAAAUCAUAAAUAUAUUUGACUUUAAUAGGUCCCCCAAAUCAUUGGAAUAUAAAAGUUAGGUGCACAAUUUUUCAUCAAGAAUUUGUUUGCAGCACGCAUUGGAAGUUUGUUUAUUUUUAUUCUCAUUAAGAAUUUGUUGGCACUGCACAUGCAUAUACAAUUGUUUCUUGGUUGAAAAAUAAUAUAUUUUUCAUGGUUUAUACUAUUUCAAUUCUUUUCUUGUUGAUAGUUGAAAUGGCAAGAAUCGUUGAAAACUCGCACACAUAAGUGGAGAAGUUUGGAUUCGAAACCCCAGUUACGGAGUUGGCCUAACAAUUUUGUUCUUUAUUGUCUAUUAAGCUAGAACUUGUCGACAUUUAUUUCCUGUUUUUUAUCAGACCAUACAUGUGAAUUUGAAUUGCAUGCAAGCACAAUUUCCACGCGAUCAGAAUUAAUUCAAUCAACAGCUCGGAGUCAUUUCAUCAAAUAUUCGACGUCUCUUAUUGUAGGAUAUGUGAAUCCAUUUUAAAAGCAAACUUAAAAUUGGAGUCGUCCAAUGUUAAUCUAAUAUCUCCGAGCUGCGCUGGCUGAACAAGUGCCUAAAAUUGUGAUUGUAGACAAAGGUUGCUAGUAAAAAUACUUCCUUAUCUUAGUUUUAAACGAUUCAUUAUAUUGCAUCUAAAUAGAAAAUAGAGAAAAACAUAAAAUUUAUAGUUCUGUUAUUGAUGAAAUGAUUUCCUAAAAGAAAAAAGCUUUGAAACUAUAACCUCUACGUACCGAGAAAUAGAAUGCUCAUAUACAUAUUCCCACCAAUAUUUUUCACUUCAAAUGAAUGUAACUAAAUGUAUCGGGGUCGUUUAGGUGUCAAAUAUCAACAUGUGAAGUGUCAAUGCUACACACUUUAAAACCUUCAACCUAAGUAAGCUUACCAUGUCUAUUUUAUUUUAAAACUGAUUUCUAUUUUAGAGUAAAAUAUUUACUUAUGACUUGUAUUUAAUUAGUUAAUCCUGAUAAAACUAUAAAUCUUGUAUAGAACGAUAGAACGAUAUUAAUUUAAACCUGUACACACAGAAAAAUGAUUGGUUUGCCUUAAUUUAUCCUAUACAUGAUAAUGGAAUUCAACAUAGUGUGCAAAAGCCUUACCUACCCCAUAUAAUUAUCCAAUUCAAUACAUUUAAUAUUAGCAAGAAGCACUAUUUUAGUUUAAGAAUUCUUGCACAAGAUAUGUUCGAUACAGUCAUCAUGAACUCAUUACUUAUUCACUACAAUAGCCUCAUCCCUUAAAUUCAAUAGCAGAAGAUCAAUGGAUCAAUAUAAUACUACAUUGCAUUAAAAACGUCACUUAGGUGUGAUUUUAUUUAAGCAAAACCUCCUUAAUCACUUUUUCCAAGUUCAUGUAUGAACAACCACCAGGUCUCGUGUCCUCCUCCGCCUUCUUCUUCAUCUCCAUUAUAUUUUUCCUCAUCUUCUUUCCUUUAUCUCCCACCAUCAAUUCAUUGACCAAAUUCUCCACCUCAUUUCUCUUCACAUUAGUAUCGAUUUCGAUUCCAAUCUCCCAUGUAUUGCAGAUAUAUCUACAGUUUGCUGGCUGAUCAGCAAAAAAUGGCUAACACAACAUUGGAACUCCAGUAGAUAUGCUUUCGGUCGUUGAGUUCCAUCCACAGUGAGUCAAGAAACCACCAAUUGAAGGAUGGUUCAAUACUUUCUCUUGCGAGCACCAACCAGCAAUUAGGCCUCUAUCUGAAAUUUCAUUCACA
rnacentral:lncRNA from 1 species